CGUGUUUUUGUGUUUUGUGUCAUAGGUGGUGGCUCCGGUGCCCUUGUAUGUCGUUCCAAUCCCAGCCGUGACACGGGCUCCAAGGGUCUGCGCAACCAAGACGAAGCUCCAGAGGGCUCCAAUGCCCCCCAACGCAGGACCAAGACCGCCGCCACCAAGAACAAGGAGCCCUCCAUGGGCAUGGAUGAGAUACCACUUGCUGAGUUUGUCACUCGAAGGAAGAUCAACCCCUAUGUGAAUCCUCGUGCCAACUUCAGAGGGAAUGAUCUGUUCUGGACCAAGCAGCAGAAUCUCAUUUAUCUGGAUGUGAUCAAGGCCAAGCAGAACAUAUAUGUGGACGUGCACUGGAUUGACAUGAAUCAUAUGAAGGAGGAUAAGCACCGUGACUACUUUGGUGAGGCUUUGGACCUCGUGGAGUAGUUUGGCAUUAAGCACGUGAUCUCCUUCCAUCUGGAUUAUGACCCUGAGAUUGUGGCCCAGUUCUUUGCCUCGGUCCACUUCCAUACUGAUGAGGAACGGUCCAUGACUUGGAUGACCAAUGGACAACAGAUGACUGCUAAGUGGAAGGACUUCAUGGAUUUGCUACAGGUGCCUGAUGAGGGACUCAACACGUCCGUUGGUGUCCGCCCUCAUGCCAACCCGAGUCCGCUAACAAGAACAAGCUCCAGCAGUACUAUGUUGAGAAGAAGCUUCGCAAUGACAAGAAGACGUGGGUGCUGAACCCAUUCCUUGACAUCAUGCACCGGAUCUUCCGCAACUCCCUCUUUCCACGCAUUGGUGAUACGUCUCCAAUGUAUCUAUAAUUUUUGAUUGUUCCAUGCUAUUAUAUUAUCUGUUUUGGAUGUUUAAUGGGCUUUAUUAUACACUUUUAUAUUAUUUUUGGGACUAACCUACUAACCAAAGGCACAGUGCAAAUUGCUGUUUUUUUUGCCUAUUUCAGAGUUUCGCAUAGAAGGAAUAUCAAAUGGAAUGAAACCUUCGGGAGAGUGAUUUUUGGAACAAACGCAAUCCAGGAGACUUGGAGUGGACAUCAAGGAAGCGACGAGGUGGCCACGAGGCAGGGAGGCGCCCCCAGGGGGGUAGGCGCGCCCCCCAUCCUCGUGGGCCCCUCGUGGCUCCCUUGACCGACUUCUUUCGCCUAUAUAUACUCAUAUACCCCGAAAACAUCCAAGAGCACCAUGAAACCCUAUUUCCACCGCCGCAACCUUCUGUACCCGUGAGAUCCCAUCUUGGGGCCUUUUCCGGUGCUCCGCCGGAGGGGGCAUCUACAUCAACACCAUAGCCUCUCCGAUGAUGUGUGAGUAGUUUACCACAGACCUUCGGGUCCAUAGUUAUUAGCUAGAUGGCUUCUUCUCUCUCUUUGGAUCUCAAUACAAAGUUCUCCUCAAUCGUCUUGGAGACCUAUUCGAUGUAAUUCUUUUUCCGGUGUGUUUGUCGAGAUCCGAUGAAUUGUGGGUUUAUGAUCAAGAUUAUCUAUGAACAAUAUUUGAAUCUCCUCUGAAUUCUUUUAUGUAUGAUUUGAUAUCUUUGCAAGUCUCUUCGAAUUAUCAGUUUGGUUUGGCCUACUAGAUUGAUCUUUCUUGCAAUGGGAGAAGUGCUUAGCUUUGGGUUCAAUCUUGUGGUGUCCUUUCCCAGUGACAGCAGGGCAGCAAGGCACACAUUGUAUUGUUGCCAUUGAGGAUAAAAAGAUGGGGUUUAUAUCAUAUUGCUUGAGUUUAUCCCUCUACAUCAUGUCAUCUUGCCUAAUGCGUUACUCUGUUCUUAUGAACCUAAUACUCUAGAUGCAUGCUGGAUAGCGGUCGAUGUGUGGAGUAAUAGUAGUAGAUGCAGAAUCGUUUCGGUCUACUUGUCACGGACGUGAUGCCUAUAUACAUGAUCAUGCCUAGAUAUUCUCAUAACUAUGCACUUUUCUAUCAAUUGCUCGACAGUAAUUUGUUCACCCACCGUAGAUACUAUCUUGAGAGAAGCCACUAGUGAAACCUAUGGCCCCGGGUCUAUUUUCCAUCAUAUAAGUUUCCAAUCUAUUUUACUUUGCAAUCUUUACUUUCCAAUCUAUACAACAAAAAUACAAAAAAUAUUUACUUUACUAUCUCUAUCAGAUCUCACUUUUGCAAGUGGCCGUGAAGGGAUUGACAACCCCUUUAUUGCGUUGGUUGUAAGGUUCUUAUUUGUUUGUGUAGGUACGAGGUGACUUGCGUGUAGUCUCCUACUGGAUUGAUACCUUGGUUCUCAAAAACUGAGGGAAAUACUUACGCUAGUUUGCUGCAUCACCCUUUUCUCUUCAAGGGAAAACCAACGCAGUGCUCAAGAGGUAGCAAGAAGGAUUUCUGGCGCCGUUGCCGGGGAGAUCUACGCUAAGUCAAGACAUACCAAGUACCCAUCACAAACUCUUGUCCCUCGCAUUACAUUAUUUGCCAUUUGCCUCUCGUUUUCCUCUCCCCCACUUCACCUUUGCCUUUUCUUCGCCCCUCUUCCGUUCGUUUGCUUGUGUUGCCAUGUGCCUUCUAUGUGCUUGCAUCUUCGCUUGCUAAAAAUAUAUUGAUAUGGAUCCUCAUCCCCCUUGCUAAUAUUUUUAAGAGAUCCAAUUAUGAUGAACCAAUUGCUAGUGAGUUGUGUGCACUAGAUUAUCUAUAUGAGGUUUUGCUUGAAAUCCGUGAAUCUGGAAAUUGUGAUGAAGUACUUUAUGAAGUGAUUCAUGGUAGAUCUUUGAAUGAAAAACAUGAUUGCAAUGAUGGUAUUAUAAAUUCUAUUAAUGUCAGUUGUGCUAAUAAUAUGCAAAACCCUAAGCUUGGGGAUGCUAGUUUUGCUAUAUCCUCCACUUGUUGCAAUGAUCAUGAUUGGGGUGAUUCUUCUUAUGAUCUUGAAAAUUUAUUUAAGCCUCAUGAUGAAUAUGAGAUUGAUAAUAAUGUUUGCAAUAAUAUUGAAAGUGGUUUUGGAAGAGUGUCAAAUUUAGAUCCCACAUGUUUUGAGAAUGUUCAAUCUUAUAAAGUGUUUGAUAAAAGUGGGUUCGGAGAGGUCAUGACUUUAGUUGAUAAUAAUCCCACUAUUUUGGAAGAGUGUCAACUUUGCAUGCAUGUGGAUCAUAUAGAGAAUAUUUUAUGUGAUAGCUAUAUUGUUGAAUUUGAUUAUGAUCCUACAUGUAAUUAUUAUGAGAGAGGAAAAUAUGGUUGUAGCAAUUUUCAUGCCACUAAAUUUCCUCUCGUUAUGUUGAGAUUGUUAUUGUUUCUUUCUUCUUCCUUGCAUAUGCUAGAUCUUGCUUGUCAAGCUAAUUUGUUUUCCUAUAAAAUUCCUAUGCAUAGGAAGUAUGUUAGACUUAGAUCUGAUUUUCACAUGCUUUAUGAUGCUCUCUUUGUGUUUCAAUUACUAUCUUUCAUGUGAGCAUCAUUGAAAUUAUCACUGCCUAGCUAGGGGUAUUAAACGAUAGCGCUUGUUGGGAGGCAACCCAAUUUUAUUUUUGUUCCUUGCUUUUUGUUCCUGUUUAGUAAUAAAUAAUUCAUCAAGCCUCUGUUUAGAUGUGUUUUUAUGUUUUAAUUAGUGUUUGUGCCAAGUAGAACCUUUGGGAAGACUUGGGUGAAGUCUUUGCGAUCUUGCUGUAAAAAAACAGAAACUUUAGCGCUCACGAGAUUAGCUGCCAUUUUUUAAUGGAGAGUGAUUUUAGGUUGAUUAUUUCUGAAGAUGAUUAAUAGACAAAUUCCUCACGUCCACCAAUUUAUUUCAGAAUUUUUGGAGUUCCAGAAGUAUACGUUUGAUACAGAUUACUACAGACUGUUCUGUUUUUGACAGAUUCAUUUUUUCGUGUGUUGUUUGCUUAUUUUGAUGAAUCUAUGGCUAGUAUCGGGGGGUAUGAACCAUAGAGAAGUUGGAAUGCGGUAGGUUUAACACCAAUAUAAAUAAAGAAUGAGUUCAUUACAGUAACUUAAAGUGGUGGUUUGUUUUCUUGCACUAACGGAGCUCAUGAGAUUUUCUGUUGAGUUUUGUGUUGUGAAGUUUUCAAGUUUUGAGUAAAGAUUUGAUGGAUUAUGGAAUAAGGAGUGGAAAGAGCCUAAUCUUGGGGAUUCCCAAGGCACACCAAGGUAAAAUUCAAGUACAACCAAAAUUCAUCCAUCGGUAACUUUACUUGAUGCUAUAUUUUUAUUUACCACAUGAUAUGUGUUUUGCUUGGAGCGUCUUGUAUGAUUUGAGUCUUUGCUUUUUAGUUUACCACAAUCAUCCUUGCUGUACACACCUUUUAUAGAGACACACAUGAAUCGGAAUUUAUUAGAAUACUCUAUGUGCUUCACUUAUAUCUUUUGAGCUAGAUAAUUUUGCUUUAGUGCUUCACUUAUAUCUUUUAGAGCACGGUGGUGGUUUUAUUUUAUAGAAAUUAUUGAUCUCUCAUGCUUCACUUAUAUUAUUUUGAGAGUCCUUUAGAACAGCAUGGUAAUUUUCUUUGGCUAUAAAAUUAGUCCUAAUAUGAUAGGCAUCCAAGAUUGGUAUAAUAAAAACUUUCAUAAAAGUGCAUUGAAUACUAUGAGAAGUUUGAUACUUGAUGAUUGUUUUGAGAUAUGAAGAUGGUAAUAUUAGAGUCGUGCUAGUUGAGUAGUUGUGAAUUUGAGAAAAACUUGUGUUGAAGUUUGCAAGUCCCGUAGCAUGCACGUACGGUAACCGUUGUGUAACAAAUUUGAAACAUGAGGUGUUCUUUGAUUGUCAUCCUUAUGAGUGGCGGUCGGGGACGAGCGAUGGUCUUUUCCUACCAAUCUAUCCCCCUAGGAUCAUGCGCGUAAUGCUUGGUUUUUGAUGACUUGUAGAUUUUUGCAAUAAGUAUGUGAGUUCUUUAUGACUAAUGUUGAGUCCAUGGAUUAUACGCACUUUCACCUUUCCAUCAUUGCUAGCCUCUUCGGUACCGUGCAUUGCCCUUUAUCACCUUGAGAGUUGGUGCAAACUUCGCCGGUGCAUCCAAACCCCGUGAUACGAUACACUCUAUCACACAUAAACCUCCUUAUAUAUUCCUCAAAACAGCCACCAUACCUACCUAUUAUGGCAUUUCCAUAGCCAUUCCGAGAUAUAUUGCCAUGCAACUUUCCACCAUUUCAUUUAUUAUGACACGCUUCGUCAUUGUCAUAUUGCGUUGCAUGAUCAUGUAGUUGACAUCGUAUUUGUGGCAAAGCCACCAUGCAUAAUUUAUCAUACAUGUCACUCUUGAUUCAUUGCCCAUCCCGGUACACUGCCGGAGGCAUUCAUAUAGAUUCUUGUUCUAGUAUCGAGUUGUAAUCAUUGAGUUGUAAAUAAAUAGAAGUGUGAUGAUCAUCAUUAAUAGAGCAUUGUCCCAAAUAAAAAAAGGCCAAAUAAAAAAAGGAAAGCCCCCCCCCCCAAAGAGAAAAGAAAUAAAAAGGGACAAUGCUACUAUCCUUUUUUCCACACUUGUGCUUCAAAGUAGCACCAUGAUCUUUGUGAUACGGAGUCUCUUGUUUUGUCACUUUCAUAUACUACUGGGAAUUUUUCAUUAUGGAACUUGGCUUGUAUAUUCCAACAAUGGGCUUCCUCAAAUGCCCUAGGUCUUCGUGAGCAAGCAAGUUGGAUGCACACCCACUUAGUUUCUUUUGUUGAGCUUUCAUACAUUUAUAACUCUAGUGCAUCCGUUGCAUGGCAAUCCCUACUCCUUGCAUUGACAUCAAUUGAUGGGCAUCUCCCUAGCCCGUUGAUUAGUCGCGUCAAUGUGAGACUUUCUCCUUUUUUGUGUUCUCCACAUAACCCCCAUCAUUAUAUUCUAUUCCACCCAUAGUGCUAUAUCCAUGGCUCACGCUCAUGUAUUGCGUGAAAGUUGAAAUUUUUUGAGAUUACUAAAGUAUGAAACAAUUGCUUGGCUUGUCAUCGGGGUUGUGCAUGAUGAGAGCAUUCUUGUGUGACGAAAAUGGAGCACAUGACCAAACUAUAUGAUUUUGUAGGGAUGAACUUUCUUUGGCCAUGUUAUUUUGUAGACAUGAUUGCUUAGUUAGUAUGCUUGAAGUAUUAUUAUUUUUAUGUCAAAAUUGAACGUUUAUCUUGAAUCUUUCGGAUCUGAACAUUCAUGCCACAAUAAAAAAAUUACAUUGAAAAAUAUGCUAGGUAGCAUUCCACAUCAAAAAUUCUGUUUUUAUCAUUUACCUACUCGAGGACGAGCAUGAAUUAAGCUUGGGGAUGCUUGAUACGUCUCCAACGUAUCUAUAAUUUUUGAUUGUUCCAUGCUAUUAUAUUAUCUGUUUUGGAUGUUUAAUGGGCUUUAUUAUACACUUUCAUAUUAUUUCUGGCUUAACCUACUAACCAAAGGCCCAGUGCAAAUUGGUGUUUUUUUGCCUAUUUCAGUGUUUCGCAGAAAAGGAAUAUCAGACGGAAUCCAAACGGAAUGAAACCUUCGGGAGAGUGAUUUUUGGAACAAACGCAAUCCAGGAGACUUGGAGUGGACGUCAAGGAAGCGGCGAGGUGGCCACGAGGCAGGGAGGCGCGCCCCCACCCUCGUGGCUCCCCUGACCGACUUCUUUCGCCUAUAUAUACUCAUAUACCCCGAAAACAUCCAAGAGCACCACGAAACCCUAUUUCCACCGCCGCAACCUUCUGUACCCGUGAGAUCCCAUCUUGGGGCCUUUUCCGGCGCUCCGCCGGAGGGGGAAUCAAUCAUGGAGGGCUUCUACAUCAACACCAUAGCCUCUCCGAUGAUGUGUGAGUAGUUUACCACAGACCUUCGGGUCCAUAGUUAUUAGCUAGAUGGCUUCUUCUCUCUCUUUGGAUCUCAAUACAAAGUUCUCCUCAAUCUUCUUGGAGAUCUAUUCGAUGUAAUUCUUUUUGCGGUGUGUUUGUCGAGAUCUGAUGAAUUGUGGGUUUAUGAUCAAGAUUAUCUAUGAACAAUAUUUGAAUCUCCUCUGAAUUCUUUUAUGUAUGAUUUGAUAUCUUUGCAAGUCUCUUUGAAUUAUCAGUUUGGUUUGGCCUACUAGAUUGAUCUUUCUUGCAAUGGGAGAAGUGCUUAGCUUUGGGUUCAAUCUUGCGGUGUCCUUUCCCAGUGACAGCAGGGGCAGCAAGGCAUGCAUUUUAUUGUUGCCAUCGAGGAUAAAAAGAUGGGGUUUAUAUCAUAUUGCUUGAGUUUAUCCCUCUACAUCAUGUCAUCUUGCCUAAUGCGUUACUCUGUUCUUAUGAACUUAAUACUCUAGAUGCAUGCUGGAUAGCGGUCGAUGUGUGGAGUAAUAGUAGUAGAUGCAGAAUCGUUUCGGUCUACUUGUCACGGACGUGAUGCCUAUAUACAUGAUCAUGCCUAGAUAUUCUCAUAACUAUGCACUUUUCUAUCAAUUGCUCGACAGUAAUUUGUUCACCCACCGUAGAUGCUAUCUUGAGAGAAGCCACUAGUGAAACCUAUGGCCCCCGGGUCUAUUUUCCAUCAUAUAAGUUUCCAAUCUAUUUUACUUUGCAAUCUUUACUUUCAAUCUAUAUCAUAAAAAUACCAAAAAUAUUUAUCUUAUUAUCUCUAUCAGAUCUCACUUUUGCAAGUGGCUGUGAAGGGAUUGACAACCCCUUUAUCGCAUUGGUUGCAAGGUUCUUAUUUGUUUGUGUAGGUACGAGGCGACUUGCGUGUAGUCUCCUACUGGAUUGAUACCUUGGUUCUCAAAAACUGAGGGAAAUACUUACGCUACUUUGCUGCAUCACCCUUUCCUCUUCAAGGGAAAACCAAUGCAGUGCUCAAGAGGUAGCAAUUGGUGACAAGGACAAGGUGCAUGCCUAUCUUGUGGAUAUGAUGCUCAUUUGUGAGGAGCACGUCUCGCUCAGACACAACCACUUGACGUCUCACAAAUCAUGUGGUGCGAGCUUUGGUUUGCGGUGUUCAGCCGUAAGGUACCCAUCUAUGGCCCUUACCUGUUUCUCUUGAUCACGAGGACUUGGGAGAAGCUCUAUCCGGAUGAUGAGUUUGUUGCCCCUGAUUGGAUCCGUCACGACCCCAUCAGGCUCCGCAUCAAGCCUCAGUGGGCUAACACCACUACUCGUGCUGAGGAAGAGGCUGCUAGAAUGGAUGUUGAUGAGGAUGAGAUUGAGGAGGAGGAAGCGGAUGAGGACAGCUCAGCUGGGUAUACCCCUCCCUCUACUGAGCCUCCAUGGGCUAAGAAGCUGAAGGCCAAGAUGAAGGCUUUGUUCUGCAUGCAAGCUAAGGGGCAGUACAGGACUCAUGUUGCUUCCAAGCAGAGUCGCCGCCGCGACAAGAGAAUCUUGAGGACAUUUGGAGAGGACAUUACCAGCGGAUCCGAGAAGCACAUCACUCCAGAGGCUGAAUGGAUGGUGAAACAGGGUUACAAGUGGACUAAUUCUGAGGAGGAGCCCAUCCCCACUGCUGAGACCGACGAGGAGCAUGACGAGUGAUCGCUUCAGCUUGAGCCACCACUUGUGUCGUAGGUGUCCUCUCUGCCUUUUUGGUGUCUCGAUGCCAAAGGGGGAGAGAGUGUAGGAUUUGCGAGUCAUGUGUCGUGUUUCGUCUUGUCGCUUUGCUUUUGUUCCGUUGAACCUCGUUUGCUUUGGUUUGGUUUGUGCUUGUGAGACCUUUCUAUCAUAUGGUGUAAGACAUAUGCACUCUAGCGUACCUUAUUGAGCCUAUGCUAUCAUGUGCUCUUUACUUUAUGCUCUUAGUUAUUAUCUUGCUUAGUGUUAGCUUUAUUGUUGCAAGAUAUGCCUUAUCUAUAAAAUAUAGGGGGAGUGUUGAUCCUAGUAUGUGUGCCGUGCAGUCCAAAGCACUUCUCUAGAUAGCACACAUCUAGGGGGAGCCCGUCUAUAUUUUAGAGACGUGGGGUUUGUCCAUGAUUCUAUGUUAUCUCCCUUUGUGCAAAUCUUGUAUUGUCAUCAAUCCACCAAAAAGGGGGAGAUUGUAAGGGCAUAUUUAUCCCUUAGUUGUUUUGGUGAUUGAUGACAAUGCUUUUGCGGACUAAUCGUGUGCACUGAGCAUUUCAGACAUAUCAUGACUAGGCACAAGACGAUUUGGUGCCCCUCAAAGACUUUUGAAGACGACGUUUCUCUACGUUUCUUUUCGGUGGAUUUGAGUCGUAGGAAAGCCGUACUAUUAAUAGGGAGUCCGCGUUGGAAAAGUUUGGGUGGAAUCAACACGUACACGUCUGUUCCUUUUUGCACCACCUUUCCUUUGGCUCUUUGGAGCAUCCUCCGUUUUUCCGUGUCUCUGCAAAAUGAAGGACUCCUAGUGUUGCUGAACUGGGGCAUGCAGUAGUACUGCUCUUCGGAGCGGUAGUACCGCAGGUGCCCAUGGUAGUACCGCUCAUUGGGAGCGGUAGUACUGUGGCCCAAGGGCAGGCCCAGCGGCUCGAGCAGCUGUAGGGGCAGAUGUAAUUUUUUACGUCCGCGCCCUACACGGUAGUACCGCGCCUCGGGCGCGGUAGUACCGCGAGCUCUGGGCAGGCGCGGCAACAUAAGCGGAAGUAGGGGCGGAUGUAAUUUUUUACAUCCGCGCCCUACACGGUAGUACCGCUCCAGGCUUGCGGUACUACUGAGGGAGUCCUGGACUAAGGGGUCCUCGGGCGUCCGACCCAUUAUCCAAGGGCCGGAAUGAUGGGCUGUGAAGAUAUGAAGGCCGAAGACUGUACCCGUUUCCGGAUUGGACUCUACUUGGCGUGGAAGGCAAGCUUGGCGACCGAAGAUUCCUUCUUAUGUAACCGACUCUGUGUAAACCCUAGAUCCCCCGGUGUCUAUAUAAACCGGAGGGGUUAGUCCGGAAAUGAUAGACAUUACCAUGGUCAUAUAGGCUAGACUUCUAGGGUUUAGCCAUUACGUUCUCGUGGUAGAUCAACUCUUGUAACACUCAUAUUCAUCAAGAUCAAUCAAGCAGGAAGUAGGGUAUUACCUCCAUAGAGAGGGCCUGAACCUGGGUAAACAUCGUGUCCCCCGUCUCCUGUUACCAUCGAUCCUAGAUGCACAGUUCGGGACCCCCUACCCGAGAUCCACCGGUUUUGACACCGACAUUGUGCUUUCAUUGAGAGUUCCACUGUGUCGUCGACGAAAGGUUCGAUGGCUCCUUCAAUCGUCGAUAGGGACGCUAUCCAAGGAGAAACCUUCCUCCCCGGACAGAUUUUUGUGUUUGGUGACUUUGUACUGCGGGCCAACUCGCUUGGCCAUCUGGAGCAGGUCGAUAGCUACGCCCCUGGUCAUCAGGUCAGAUUUGGAAGCUUGAACUACAUUGCAGAUACCCGUGGAGACUUGAUCUUCAGUGGGUUUGAGACCGCGGCGAUUGCUCUCCCUCGCCCCGAUGAACAUGACUUAGAUCUGUCAUCGGAUCACAUCCAGGAGAUGGUUCCUGUUGCUGCAACGACCCUAGAACCGAAGCAAAUCGUGCCCUCCGAGGCCACAAAGUCCGCGGCGUUAGAGCCACACACGGACUCGACAUCCUGCAAUAUUUGCGUCAAUGGAACUCGGAACUCGUCUCCGGCUAUAAGUUCCGGACCAGGUACGCCUGCGGACACCGAGCUGGAUCGGUUAUCAAUUUUUGAAUUUAGCGCCGUAGACAUCUUCCAGCACUCACCUUUUGGUGACGUGCUAAACUCUUUAAAGAACUUGUCCUUGGAGGAGGACUCACAGCUGAACUAUGUUCGGUUCGAGCUAGAGGCGGAUGACGAGGAAUUUUGCUUCCCACCCGCCACCCACAUCAUAGCCACUGUCGAUGACUUAACCGACGUGCUUGACUAUGGCUCUGAAGACAUCGACGGUAUGGACGAUGAUGCCGACAAGGAGCAAGGCCUAGACCCGCCAUUCACUGGACGUUGGACAGCCACCUCUUCGUACGACGUGUACAUGGUUGAUACACCUAAAGGAUUUGGCGACGACAAAGAAGAUCCAGAUGCGAAUAAACCCUCUGAGACGCAGUCCAAGCGCUGGCGGUCCAAAUGCCGUUCUAAGCCCCGUCGCUCAAAAGAUGGCAACACUAGCACCGGAGAAAAUAGUACUCCGGGCGACGCCCAGACCAUGUCGGGGCUGCAUCCGAACAGGAGGAACACGACAACGGGCAAGAUAACCCUGAUGAACAGGCCAUAGAAGAUGACUCGGAGGACGAUAGUUACCGUCCACCCUCCGAGGAGGAGUCAAGCCUCGGCAACGAAGACUUCAUCGUACCUGAGGAUCCUCUGGAGCAGGAGCGCUUUAAGCUUCAGCUCAUAGCCACUGCAAGGAGCCUGAAAAAGAAACAGCAGCAGCUUCAAGCUGAACAAGAUCUGCUCGUCGACAGAUGGACUGAUGUCCUUGACAGCCGAAGAAUACGGCUUCAAGCACCCAUCCAAGAGCUACCCAAAACGCAGACUGCUACCUCAAUACGAUGAGGAGGCGCCGGAGCACAUAUCUCCCUCGCGUAAUGCGGAACGACCACCACAUGGUCGAGACAGGGCGGCCGACCGGCCACCCCGCGGUCGGGAUAAAGCGGCAACUCAGGCUAGUAGCCUGCCCCACUGCCCCGUAAAAAUAGAGACGGAAGAGUUCGGGUUCAUACGUACAACCUCCAGCAGACCCUGGACAGUGGAGCAGGACAUACAAGAUCGAUCUACGGAUCGCGAGGACGUGCCUCAAGGCACGACGACGACGGCUACCUAUUCAGACGUGACAAACCAACCCACGCCCGGGCCGAACGCCGCAGACUGACUCCAUCAGAGCUACGCCGCGAUGCGGCCCGAUAUAGAGGCGCCGCACACCCUCUUUGCUUCACAGAUGAAGUACUGGAUCAUGAAUUCCCUGAGGGGUUCAAGCCUGUCAAUAUCGAAUCAUACGACGGCACAACCGAUCCUGCAGUAUGGAUCAAGGAUUUUAUUCUCCAUAUCCAUAUGGCUCGAGGAGAUGACCUCCACGCCAUUAAAUACCUCCCACUAAAGCUCAAAGGGCCAGCUCGGCACUGGCUUAACAGCCUGCCUAAAAAUUCUAUCGGCAGCUGGGAGGACUUGGAAGAAGCCUUCCUGGACAACUUCCAAGGAACCUAUGUCCGGCCACCAGACGUCGACGACUUAAGCCACAUAGUUCAACAACCUGGAGAAUCAGCCAGAAAAUUCUGGACUAGGUUCCUAACCAAAAAGAACCAGAUCGUUGACUGUCCGGAUGCUGAGGCCCUAGCAGCCUUCAAACACAGCAUCCGUGACAAAUGGCUAGCACGCCACCUCGGCCAAGAAAAGCUGAAGUCUAUGGCAGCCCUUACGGCACUCAUGACCCGCUUUUGCGCAGGUGAGGAUAGCUGGCUGGCUCGUAGCAAGAACACAGCCAGCGAGGCAGGCCCCUCUGAGGCCAAGAACAGCACCAGCAAGCUCCGGCGCAAUAGACACAAACGCCGAAGCAAUGGCGACAACACCGAUGACACCACAGUUAACGCCGGAUUCAGUGGCUCCAAGUCCGGCCAACGGAAGAAGCCCUACAAAAGAAACAAUGAAGGACCUUCCAGCCUAGACCGCAUAUACGACCGUCCGUGCCAGAUACAUGGCACCCAGAUAAACAGGCCAAUCACACCAACAGAGACUGUUGGGUUUUCAAACAGGCUGGCAAGUUAAACGCUGAAAACAAAGAAAAGGGAUCACAAAGUGAGGACGAGGACGAAGAGCCCCGGCAGCCGAACACUAGGGGACAGAAGAAAUUUCCCCCUCAAGUCAAAAUGGUGAACAUGAUAUACGCUACACACAUCCCCAAAAAGGAGCGCAAGCGAGCACUUAGGGACGUCUAAGCGGUAGAGCCAGUCGCCCCCAAAUUCAACUCGUGGUCAUCAUUCCCGAUCACCUUCGAUCGUCAAGAUCACCCAACUAGUAUCCGCCAUGGCGGUUCAGCCGCACUAGUCCUCGACCCAAUUCUUGACGGGUUUCACCUAACACGAGUCCUGAUGGACGGUGGUAGCAGCCUCAACCUGCUUUAUCAGGACACAGUGCGGAAGAUGGGCAUUAACCCCUUAUGAAUCAAACCAACGAAGACUACCUUUAAAGGAGUCAUACCAGGUGUCGAGGCCUGCUGUACAGGCUCAAUCACGCUGGAGGUGGUCUUCGGUUCCCCGGACAACUUCCGAAGCGAAGAGUUAAUCUUUGAUAUCGUCCCCUUCCGCAGCGGCUAUCACGCACUGCUCGGACGAACCGCGUUUGCUAGAUUCAACGCAGUGCCACACUAUGCUUAUCUCAAGCUCAAGAUGCCUGGUCCACGCGGCGUCAUAACAGUCAAUGGCAAUACAGAACGCUCCCUUCACACAGAAGAGCACACCGCCGCCCUAGCAGCAGAAGUACAGAGUGGCCUUCUCAAGCAACACCAUAGUACGGCUGUCGAGCCCCUGGACAUCCUUAAGAGGUUCCGGACUACACUGCAACAGGACGGCGUGGCUCAUCAAGAGCUCGAUUAACAAUUCGGCCUCCGUCCCAGUCCUGAUGAAGCAGUGGCAUUCAUACCACGCGUACAUAAUUACGCACUUAAAAUUCCAUGGACAUCGACGGAGGCACAAGCUAGCCCGGGAUCUACAGUUCGGCUAGACCGAUCCCGGACACACAUACUUUCAAUUGUUCUUCUUGUUUCAGGUUCCUUUUCCCGCGGGCCUGAUCACCAGUCCUUUCGAAGGAUUGGCAUACAACGGAGGCAAGCAGCACAGGUGUGUAGGGUAACCUCUAUACGUUCUUCUUGACGGUAUUUAUACUUAUUUCUCAGGACCCGCACGCUGCGCCCUAUUGAUUCCGGCAUGAUAAAUAGCCCGGAUACGUAUCGCACCAUCUGUACAAGAUACGCCUUGAUGUAUACAUCCAGUUAUAGUAAAAAUGGUUUGCGGCCCAAGUUCUGUGGUUUUCGCUUCUUACUUCAUUUUAUUUCGAUCUGCUUAUCGGCUGCAACGGUACUCUUUUGUACGUUUCAUAUUCGCCAGGGGCUACUUAUCGCCCCACAAUACGGCAACACAGUCCGAACACUCCUUAUAUAUAUAAGUUCUGCACCCCGAAUUUAGCAUUAUAUGCAUUGGCUCCGAAUCAUGUCUUUGGUCAAUAGUUGGGUUGCCCGGCUCCUAUGCUUGAUACCCUACGUUCCGCUCUAUCGGCUAGGGUAGUAAAGGGAGAACUACUGCGAUUGUGCCCUGGCCUUGACCGGAUGAGCACCUCAGUAGGCCGAAAACUGACUAUCAUGAUACGGCGAGAGCCGGUCAGCUAUUCGAGGGUUACAAACUCGUUGGAGAUUUUUUCCGCGUUAUGCGAAGGAUCGGCACUUCCCGAUCAGAUGCUGACAGCACCCUGGCUUGGACCAGGGGCUGCGCCCAUGCUUUAUUAUAAAACUCCUAUGGCUAAGUGAGGGCAUUUAAGACGUAUAGUCUGAUUGCCUUGUUCGUUGCGCUAAACAACUCCUUCAAGGACCAUAUAAUUGGAUCAAGAUUGUUUAGAUUCCAUCCCGAACACCUCCGUACUACCUACGCGAGGGCAGAAGCCGACGACUGGCCAACCCUCAGAUUGCCUACAACACGGCCGCAUAGGAGGAAACAAUUAAAGCAUAACGAAAUUACAUUACAAAACAGGCUUUGUUUUCAUAAUACAAGGCAAGGGCAACAUGAAUACAUUUAUUCAAAUACAAUGUCCUGCGAACAUUGAGCUGCUGCAAGUCGAAACCCUUCUAUGACAUCUGCAAAAUAUCACUCGGGUGUGCGGUGCUCCUUGCCCUCCGGCGGCCCGCUUGCAACUUCAACGGCGUUCAUCUUCGCCCACCACAUCUUGCAACGGGCGAAGGCCAUGCGAGCACCUUCAAUGCAGGCUGAUCGCUUGAUGGUGUCGAGCCGCAGACAAGCUUCCACUAGGCGCCUCACGAGUUCGAAGUAGCUGCCGGGCAUAGCUUCGGCUGGCCAUAGCCGGAUCAUCAAAUCCUUCAUGGCUAGUUCGGCCACCCUAUGCAGCUCCACCAGCUAUUUCAACUGAUCGGUGAAGGACACGGGAGGCUCUGACACCGCAUAUUGCGACCAUAAUAGCUUCUCCGUAGAACCCCCUCCUUCGGCUCGAUAGAACUCCACGGCGUUCGAUACACUGCGAGGUAAAUCAGCAAAAGCCCCUGGGGAGCUCCGAACCCGGGUUAGUAAAAGGUACUGCUUCUCCGCAUACUUGCUUUGCAUCUUAAAAGCCUUACCCGCUGUGAUCUUCUUGGCCUCCUGGAUCUCCUGGAGGGCAGCCUGGGUCUCAUUCUGUCUGGUCUCCGCACUCUGACGAGCCUUGGCGAGUUCGGCCCCUUGAGCCGAUGCAUCAUGCUCCAAGGCCUUGCAUUUUUUCACCGCAUCCUGGAGCUCUUGCUGGACUUCUUUGACCCGGGCCUUGAGCUUCUUACGGGCGGCUUGCUGCUGGACAACUUUCUCCUCGGCCUCGUCCAGGGCCUUCUUCAGGGCCUCGACCUCGGUCGCGGCUCCUGCACAUAUUACGCCACUACGGUCAGUAUACAACGUUUCUUCUUUCCGGACACAUAGCAAGUCGUCAUUCACCUUGCUUCUCCUGGAGCCGAAUUUUAACCUCGCCGAGCUCGUUCUCGGUCCGCUCCAGCCUCUGCUUCAGUUCAGAGAGUUCGGCAGCAUGCGAGGUUGCGGCCAACAGCGACGCCUGCUUAUUCAUACAUAUUACGUUAGUCUCCCAUAUCAAAUGAUUGAUCCUCUAUCCGGUUCUUCUUGCCGAACACCGGACAGUGUCUCAGGGGCUACUGUCUACACGGGGUUCUUCUCUUUCUUACCUCGAAACCUGUCAAUAGGUUGCUGCAAGCUUAUUUAGUCCACUCUUGGCGGACUGAACCUUCUCGAUCACUGCACCCAUAAGGACACGGUGCUCGUCCAUAACGGAGGCGCCUCGUAGCGCCUCCAUCAGGGUAUCCGGCUCCCCUGGAUAGACAGGGGCCACCGGUGGAAUCGGCGCACCCCCUCCUUCAAAGGGGGCUGCUCGCCCGACUCCGGAGCCGUAUGGGUCUCCGGAAUCGUAUUCGGCUGAGGGCCAAACUGGAUGUGGCCCUCUUCGCCAGUCUCCAUGGGGAUCGGCUCCCCCGUGUGUCCGGCAGUGGAGGUCUCACCUUGUGGCGCCUCCCGGACAGCGUCCUGGGCUCCUCCCUUCGGAGCGGUCCUCCGGGACAACACUUCGGUGUCGUCCCUGGCCCCGGGGGAAUAAGCAGGUGGUGGCGACAUGCUCGCCAUCUCCGACGGAGCCAACGAACCUCCAGAUGAGGAUCGCUGGAUAAGGUCGUGGGCCGGACUGCAAUGGUACAGUUAACUAUGUCCAAAUAAUGAAGAGAAAAGGCCGGAUGUGCGCAUGAGCGAGCCAUGUCACUUACGAUGCGACCUGGGCUUAGUGCGGGGGCGUCAUUCCGGACUGCUGUCAACGUCCCACGCGGUAUUGACCGCUGGGGCGCCCUUCCCCUUUUUGGGUGUUUCCGCCUCCAGAUGCGCCGAGGCCGCCCUCUUUUUCUUCUUAUCCUCGAAAGGAGGGUUGUUUUCCUCCUCCUCCUCUUCCUCGUCAUUGUCCUCAGGGACAGAGGGAUGGGCUUAGUCGUCUUCGGACACCACGUCCGAAGUGCCCUUGCAACAGGGACCACUCUUGGCCCCCUUGGCCUUCUUCUCCGGUGCCUUAUACGGCGCCGGCACCAGCAUCUUCGCUAGGCGCGGGAUGACCGGUUCUUCGGGCAACGGAGCCGGACACUGGAUCCACUUCGCCCUCUCCAUCUAGUCCUGGAAGAGCAAUAAUAAAAGCUCAGACAUCAUCCUCGAAACAAUUAAGUUGGGGAUACGUCAGAAGUAACAUACCUCGCUGGCGGGGUGUUUACAAUCGUGACCACGGUCUGAGUCCGUGGCCGGUGGCUUCUCGUUGCCCUUAAAGAGCAACUUCCAGGCACCUUCGUGAGUAGUCUCGAAGAGCCUUAUCAAGGUCUGGUGCUUCUUUGAAUUGAACUCCCACAGAGGGCGGCUUCGGCGCUGGCAUAGAAGAAUCCGGCGAACUAGCAUCACCUGGAUUACGUCAACAAGCUUGACAUUCUUGGUCACCAUGCUCUGAACGCGUGUCUGCAGCGCUAUCAGCUCAUCAGGUGAACACCAGUUCGGAUUCUUCUCGACCCAGGAGGUGAGUCGCAUGGGAGCACCGGAGCAGAAUUCGGCAGCUGCGGCCCAGGUGGUGCCGCGAGGUUCUGUGAUGUAUAACCACUGCUUCUGCCACUCCUUUACCGUCUCCACAAAAGUGCCUUUGGGCCAGGAGACGUUGGAUAGCUUGCUCACCAUGGCUCCCCCGCACUCUGUGUGCUGGCCAUCCACCACCUUCGGCUUCACGUUGAAGACUUUGAGCCACAACCCGAAGUGGGGUUGGAUGCGGAGGAAGGCCUCACACACGACGAUAAACGCCGAGAUGUUGAGGAAGGAAUUCAGGGACAGAUCAUGGAAAUCUAUCCCGUAAUAAUACAUCAGCUCGCGGACGAAAGGGUGGAGUGGAAACCCUAGACCGCGGAAGAAAUGGGGGAUGAAUACUACCCUCUCAGUGGGCUUCAGCGUGGGGACGACUUGUCCAUCGGCCAGCAGACGGUGGGCGAUCUCCUUCGCCAAAUACCCGGCCGCCCGAAGCUCAGUAAUGUCCUCCUCCCUGACGGAGGAGACCAUCCACUUGCCCUGACCUCCCGAUCCGGACAUGAUUGCUUGAGUGGAAAGGAGAUGAGUACUUGGGCGCUGGAGCUUGAGAUUGGAAAUAGAGAGAAGGCGUGAGAGAGGAAGAGGGAGUGCUUAUCCCCUUAUAAAGGCAGCGAAUAUUAAAAGCUUCCUCACUGGCCCUAAAAGCUCGCAUAUUCCCAAGGGCCGUAUAAACGGCACGGUUGGGUUACACAUGCCCGCAUUGAUGAGAAUCCCACGAUAAGGGGACACGAUCUCUGCUUUGACAAGACGUGCCAAUGGCAACCGCGUCUCAAAGCAUGGACCGGACAGACGUGAUGUCGUGCUAUUAAAAAAGCUGUCAGCGGAUAGAACUCGUGUGAAAAUAUAUAUUCUCUCUGCGGUUAUGUAUGGUGUGUAUGUGGCAGGUCCGGAUACUGUUAUCGCAUCCGAAGACUAUCUUGGAGUUCGGAAAGGGGAACGCGCCUUGCAAUGUCGAAGACAAUCUGCGCGCCGGACUCCUCGUCAUUGAAGCCAGGUUCAGGGGCUACUGAGGGAGUCCUGGACUAAGGGGUCCUCGGGCGUCCGGCUUGUUAUCCAUGGGCCGUACUGAUGGGCUGUGAAGACAUGAAGGCCGAAGACUGUACCCGUGUUCGGAUUGGACUCUACUUGGCGUGGAAGGCAAGCUUGGCGACCGAAGAUUCCUUCUUAUGUAACCGACUAUGUGUAAACCCUAGAUCCCCCCGGUGUCUAUAUAAACCAGAGGGGUUAGUCCGGAAAGGAUAGACAUUACCAUAGUCAUAUAGGCUAGACUUCUAGGGUUUAGCCAUUACGAUCUCGUGGUAGAUCAACUCUUGUAACACUCAUAUUCAUCAAGAUCAAUCAAGCAGGAAGUAGGGUAUUACCUCCAUAGAGAGGGCCCGAACCUAGGUAAACAUCGUGUCCCCCGUCUCCUGUUACCAUCGAUCCUAGACGCACAAUUCGGGACCCCCUACCCGAGAUCCGCUGGUUUUGACACCGACAACUACCGUGUCGGAUUUUUGCAUAGAUCUCAACUCAGAGGAAGUUGCCACGGAUGUAUUUUUAUAUGUCCGUGCCUUCCCAAAUCUGGACUAUCCCUGCCUUGCGGUAGUACCGCAAGGGGGAGCGGUAGUACCGCGCCAGCGGUUCUACCGCCCUCUGCUUCUUCACAUCAGGGCUGCUUUGGAUUCUGCUGCAUGGGCGGUAGUACCGUAGUUCCUUGCGGUAGUACCAUGUGCCCUAGCAGUACCGCGACUCUGGUGCAGUAGUACCGUGCUUCGUAGGCUGAGUUGGUGGAUAACGGUUGGAUUUGUUCUUCCACUAUAUAAGGGGUGUCUUCUUCUCCGAGUUGACUAUCUAUUCCAUCCCAAGCUCCAUUUCCGCCCGAUCUCUCUCCCUAGCCAAUCAAACUUGUUGAUUCUUUAGGGAUUGGUUGAGAAGGCCCUGAUCUACACUUCCACCAAGAGAAAUUUGAUUUCCCCCACUAAUCCUUUGCGGAUCUUGUUACUCAUGGGUGUUUGAGCACCCUAGACGGUUGAGGUCACCGCGGAGCCAUAUUCCAUUGUGGUGAAGCUUCGUGGUGUCCUUGGGAGCCUCCAAUUAAGUUGUGGAGAUUACCCCAACCUUGUUUGUAAAGGUCCGGUCGUCGCCUCCAAGGGCACCAAUAGUGGAAUCACGGCAUCUCGCAUUGUGUGAGGGCGUGAGGAGAAUACAGUGGCCCUAGUGGCUUCUUGGGGAGCAUUGUGCCUCCACACCGCUCCAACGGAGACGUACUUCCCCUCAAAAGGAAGGAACUUCAGUAACACAUCCUCGUCUUCACCGGCUCCACUCUUGUUUAUCUCGUGCCUUUACUUGUGCAAGCUUAUUUGUGUUAUAUCCCUUGCUUGCUUGUGUGCUUGUUUUUGUUGUUGCAUCAUAUAGGUUGCUCACCUAGUUGCAUAUCUAGACAACCUACUUUGAUGCAAAGUUUAAUUUGGUAAAGAAAAGCUAAAAAUUGUUAGUUGCCUUGCCUAUUCACCCCCCCUCUAGUCAACUAUAUCGAUCCUUUCACGAGGCAUUGAUAAUUUCAAUGAUGCUCACAUGAAAGACAAAAAUUGAAGCACAAAGAGAGCAUCAUGAAACACGUGAACACAUCUAAGUCUAACAUACUUCCUAUGCAUAGGCAUCUUAUAGGCAAACAAAUUAUCAUAGCAAGCAAAACUAGCAUAUGCAAGGAAGCGAAAAGAAACAAUAGCAAUCUCAACAUAACGAGAGGUAAUUUAGUAACAUGAAAAUUUCUAAAAUCAUAUUUUCCUCUCUCAUAAUAAUUACAUGUGGGAUCAUAAGCAAAUUCAACAAAAUAGCUAUCACAUAAAAUAUUUUCAACAUGAUCCACAUGCAUGCAAAGUUGACACUCUUCCAAAAUAGUGGGAUUAACAUUAACUAAAGUCAUGACCUCUCCAAACCCACUUUUAUCAAAAAUUUCAUAAGAUUGAACAUUCUCCAAAUAUGUGGGAUCUAAAGUUGACACUUUUCCAAACCCACUUUCAAUAAUAUUGCAAACACUAUUAUUAAUCUCAUCUCCAAAUAAUUAUGAAGUAGUAUUACACGAACAUAAAAUUACACAUAUGGUGUACUUCGAUUAAGAUAUGUCUUUUUAUGUAUCUGAAAAUUGUCUUACUACUACUAUUUAUAAUUUAUAAUUUGGGUAAGUAAUUACCAAUAUUGUUUUUAGCACUAAUAGUUUUAGAUCUUAUGAGUAUGCUUAUUGUGUAGUAUGUUCAGUUAGGUUUACGGUUUUCUCCUUGUUUCAUUUAUUACCGAUUGGUGUUUGGAGUUUUCAUUAGACUUAGGCUUUAUUGAUUAUGCUUUAGGAUUUAGUUUACUGGUGUAAUGAAUGUAGGAAUCUUACUUUACCAUUUAGGGCAUUCGGUUAGGGAUUAGAGUUUAGGGCUAUGGUUUAGGGUUUUCGUUGGAAUUAGGCUUUAUGGAUUAUGCUUUAGGAUUUAGUUUACUGAUGUAAUGAAUGUAGGGAUUGUACUUUAGGGUUUAGGGUAUACAUCGAUACUGGUUAGGAUUUAGGGCUUGGGUUAUAUGGCGUUGGUAAUUAGGAUUUAGGGGUAGAAUCUAUAGUUUAUCGAUUAGGUUAUUCACAUAGCCUUUAUUGUUCAUGAUUUAUGAUUGGUGUUUAUGACUUUGGUUUCAGUUGAUACAUUACUACUAUUUAAACCUUCCAAAUUAUUGCAUUUCAUGUUUACCACUUUCAAAUUGUAUGGUCUAGCAUUUCUUAAUCAUGUCAUUGACCUACUCUAUUGAGUCGGUAAAUAGUAUAAUUACCAACACAAAGUAAUAAUUAACUUGUCAGAAUUGUAUAAUCAGUGACUAAUAUAUGAGUAUUAAACUAAGUUGAUAUGUAAAUAUAGUAUACUUUCUAAACAUAUGCACAAUAUAGAUAACAUUAUAAUACUAUAGAAUUUUAUUCAAUAUAAGUUUGUCAACAUUUCAAAGGAUACAAUUAAAAUAAUUUAUAGAAAAUAUCAUUAAAUAGAUUUUGCAAAAAAAAAUCUCAUUUAGAAUUGUUGAUAGCUUCAUAAUAAAUUGAUAAGAGAAGUAGCACCUGAAGUUUAAGUCUUAAACCUUACAACUUGUCUCUAUAGUUAAGUUUCAAAAGCAUAACUUAUUUCAACAACGUUUACGCAAAUAUAUCUACUAGCGGUUGCUUUCAUCUAUGUCGUAAGAUUCCAGUUCAUAUAAUUUGAUAUUAGGAAGACUCGAUAUAUCAGACAGAAAAGUUGUUCGAGGAUUGUUAGGACCGAGAGUAUAUCUACCAGAGGGGGGUGAAUGGGAGAUUCAAAAUUUCUUUCAAAAGUUUUGAACUGAUCCCAAACACAGCAGCGGAAUUAAGGUUCGGUAGAUAUGAACUCAAACAAGCAGACUAUUGAGGAACAAAAUCUUCGAUGUAAGAUGCAAUAAUGGUUCGAGCAUAGUAUGCGAUAGGCUUGAUGAUAAUGAUGGUAACUCAACAUGCCAAGAGAUACAAUAACAAGAUAGAGAGCUCGAAAUGAACUGCGAUGGAUAACUAUGAGAAAUAGCUACAAUGAGGUAAAUGAUCACAAUACAGAUGAUGAUGAAAACUAAGAUAGCAUAACAGAAUGAAGAUGGUGCAACACUGUGGGCAUCGAACAAUAACUGAUGGAAAUGAUAGACAAAAUCAGAGCGAAUGAUAUGCAACAAAGUAUGAAUUAUCAAAUAAACUAAUCGUCACAGAGCACGAAUGGAAACUGCUAAAAGUAUUGCAGUGAAGUAAAUAGAACCAGUGGUGCUCGAUGGCGACAGAGAGAUUUGGUAGACCAGUUCACCCUUCUGCCAAAGGGCUACAUAUGGUUGGAGGGGUUGUGACUUAACACGGAAGAUAAACUCUCUUCACCCUGUUCUCCUUCAACUCAAAGCUGAUCAGACUCUAGUUGAUUUCACUCGUGGUAGAUACUGGUGUCUACUGCGCAACUUUAUUCUUGUAGACUCGUGUUGGUCCUCCAAGCGCAGAGUCCCUCAAGUGGAUGACUCAAGGUUUAUCAAUCCGUGGGAGGCGUAGGAUGAAGAUGGUCUCUCUCAAACAACCCUGCAACCAAAUACAAGAAAUCUCUUGUGUCCCCAACACACAUAAUACAAUGGCAAAUUGUAUACGUGCACUAGUUCGGCGAACAGAUGGUGAUAAAAGUGUAAUAUUGAUGGUAGAAAUAUAUUUUUAUAAUCUGAAUAAAUAAAAACAGCAAGGUAGCAAAUAGUAAACGGGCACAAAAACGGUAUUGCAAUGCUUUAAAAUGAGGCCUAGGUUCCGUACUUUCACUAGUGCAAUCUCUCAACAAUGCUAAUAUAAUUGGGUCAUAUAACCGUCCCUCAAUGUGCAACGAAGAAUCACUCCAAAGUUCCUAUCUAGCGGAGAACAUAGGAAGAAAUCAUUUGUAGGGUACGAAACCAGCUAGAAGCUAUGCUUUCCGAUCGAUCUAUCCAAGAGUUCAUACUAAAAUAACACCAAAUAAUUUCAGAUUCAUAAUACUCAAUCCAACACAAAGAACUUCAAAGAGUGCCCCAUGAUUUCUGCCGGAGAAACAAAAGACGAGAACGUGCAUCAACCCCUAUGCAUAGAUUACCCCAAUGUCACCGCGGGAAUCCGUGAGUUGAAUGCCGAAACACAUAUCAAGUGAAUCAAAAUAAUACCCCAUUUUCACCACGAGUAUUCAUUUGCAAGACAUGUAUCAAGUGCUCUCAAAUCCAUAAAAUUAUUCAAUCCGAUAAAACGAAAUCUCAAAGGAAAAACUCAAUUCAUCACAAGAUAGAGAGGGGAAAACACCUUAUGAUCCGACUAUAUUAACAAAGCCCGCGAUACAUCAAGAUGGUGACAUCUCAAGAACACGAGAGAGAGAGAGAGAGAGAGAGAGAGAGAGAGAGGGAGACUAAACACAUAGCUACUGGUACAAACCUUCAGCCCCGAGGGUGGACUACUCCCUCCUCAUCAUGAUGGCCGCCGGGAUGAUGAAGAUGGCCACCGGUGAUUAUUCCCCCCUCUGACAGGGUGCCGAAAAGGGUCUAGAUUGGUUUUCGGUGACUACAGAGGCCUGCGGCGGCGGAACUUCUGAUCUAGGGUAACCCCGCGAGGGUUUUUGGAAUAUUUGACAAUUUAUAAGGCGAAGAGGCGGUGCGGGAGGCCACUGAGGUGGGCACAACCCACCGGGGGCGUGCCUGGGGGCCCAGGCACGCCCUAGUGGGUUGUGCCCCCCUCGGGGCACCCCCCCAGGUGCUGCUCUGGCCCAUUGGAUGUCUUAUGGUCCAUAAAAAAUCCACAAAAAGUUUCGUGGUGUUUGGACUUCGUUUGAUAUUGAUUUCCUGCGAUGUAAAAAACAAGCAAAAAACAUCAACUGGCACUGGGCACUGGGUCAAUAGGUUAGUCCCAAAAAAUGAUACAAAGUUGCUAUAAAAUGAUUGUAAAACAUCCAAGAAUGAUAAUAUAACAUCAUGGAUACUUCAUAAAUUAUAGAUACGUUGGAGACGUAUCAGAUACUUGUCGGCGAUCUCCAAACCUUUGGUCGACCUUCGCAAACCACAAUCACUCUUGGUUGAUGAAGAUCUAGCUCGGUGAAGACAACAACUCUUCAACACUCGAGCCGAAACCUAUCCGUCUAGAGGGCGCGCAGCUCUCAAGAGUAAUAGGUACAAGAACUCUAACUUAGAACUACUGUGAUGCUAAACCACCGUCUAAGUUUGGGCUCUUGAUUUUUCUCUCGGUGGAUCUUCAACUCAAAUCACUCAGAGAGGGGUUGCUCAAAUCAAUCUUUUCAGAAAUCUCAAGCGGAACAGCCAACAGAAAAUGUUGGAGCGGGAUGGCUAUUUAUAGCCGCAGCCUUCCCUGAAGGGAAAUGACCAAAUUGGACAUGAGGUGCAGUCAAUGACUGAACGACACGAGUCCAACAGUCGGAAUUUGAGCACAACGGUAACAUUGCAUGUGGAGCAAGUAAUGCUAACUCCUCAGUCCGAAAAAUAUCUCCUGGAGCACGAAGAACAACGUCUACUACUGCCAGAUAAUCAUUCGGAGCAUAAAGAGAUUUCUCUCGCAUCUUUCAUAGGUUUUGGGCUAAGCAUCACAGCGGACCUAAGCUUCGAGAACCUAUACCCCUCUUAAUAGUAUGGAGGUCCUAUGACUCAAAUGAAUAAAAGAAGAACAACAAAAUGAAUACUACGUCUUCACUUUGUCUUCGACUUCCAUUCGCUACAGUCAAUUUUUUCGGACUUCAAUACCGAACCAAAUGCUUCGCUUCAGCAAUAAAAUGUCGAGGGGUUAAUUCCUUCACAUCAAUCUUCUCGUCUUCAUGAAUUCAAUAGAUAUAGCUCGUUCUUCUCUGCAACGCAGAUAUACUUCGGUGAAGUUCCUCGAACUUAGCACCGGAGACGACAUUCUCUUCAGUUCUGUAUGGACUAUUUCACUCUGUAUGCACUACCAAAUAAAUCAGUCCAUACCUGUUUCUGUCAACAAUCUCCAAAACACGGAUAGACAAAUAUUGCACCAACAAGGAUAACUAGUAAGCACGAGAAACAAAGGAACCAACACAAAUAUGAAACAUAAAUUCGCCAACUAUACGACAAAUUAAAAGCACAUACUUGAAGAAAUUGGAUCGCUACAAAUACUCCCUUCGCCCCGAAUUAGUUUACUCGGAUUUGUUUACUCCCUCCAUCCAUAUAUAGGGCCUAGUGCAUUUUUGAGAUUACCUUUUACUAUUGAUAAGAUUAAUAGUAUAUGAAAUAUAUAAUGUGAAAAUUAUAUCAUUGGAAGCUCCUUUCACGUACAAAUUUGACGGUAUGCUUUGUGUAACUUGCAUGUCAUAUUUUUGUUGCUCUAAUAUGUGGUCAAAGUUAGCUUCAAAAAAUAAUUAGACCCUAUAUAGAGGGAUAGAGGGAGUAGAUAUAUCGUUAGUAGAUAUAUUGUCAGAUACAUUCACAACUAGUCAAAUUUAAGACAAGUAAUUUGGGACGGAGGUAAUAAAUAAGAAAACGAACACUUUUGGUCGAUUUUGUACCUUUUUGCACUAAAUAUACUGCCCCGUGUGUUUAUAUCUUCGAAGGUCUUCGAUUUGUAAGAAUAGAUGAUGACCCCUUUCGUUCUCCAAGUGAAAUGAUGCCUGAAGGUGGAUGUUUUGUUUUCGAGUGACAUAAAGAUAAGAAUAAACAUGAACCAAAAAACAGAAAAACAAUGGCAUGAUGAAUCGUUUUUGCUCGUCCGUUCGGUAAGUAUAUAUAUGUUCCUUUCCAUUUCCACUGUUAAGGAGCCCUACGCAACAAAUUUCCGACCCCAUACCAACAUCUUUAUCGGCAUGAUAUACAAAUGGAUUACAGCCAAAAAGGAGAAUCUAACUCUGUCUCUAUACAUGACCCAAUGUCAUCAAUCUUGGCGUAGAUCGACAACACAUAAUUCACAUUUGUCCGGACAUGCGUGCCACAGAUCCCCUUCCCUAUAGGCAAAGGGAAAGAGAUCAUACGGCCAUCAACAGAUAUACAGAGUCUGUCCGGACUCCCUCCGCCCUGCAACUCCAUUCCCGGAGCGGGCAGACGACGCCUAACACAUCAACUCUAUGGAGUGGCCAGCACGGAGCGGAGCGGCAUUCAGUUAUAAUUUGGCAAAAAUGCUACACAUACAGGCACAUUGUACAUGUUUUUACCAAAUUAUCGACUGCGCACUUUUCUAANNNNNNNNNNNNNNNNNNNNNNNNNNNNNNNNNNNNNNNNNNNNNNNNNNNNNNNNNNNNNNNNNNNNNNNNNNNNNNNNNNNNNNNNNNNNNNNNNNNNNNNNNNNNNNNNNNNNNNNNNNNNNNNNNNNNNNNNNNNNNNNNNNNNNNNNNNNNNNNNNNNNNNNNNNNNNNNNNNNNNNNNNNNNNNNNNNNNNNNNNNNNNNNNNNNNNNNNNNNNNNNNNNNNNNNNNNNNNNNNNNNNNNNUCUUAAUCAAUCCACGGCCAAUCAAUGUUAAGCAACCUUUAAAACCCCGUAUAACUCCGUACGUCGAGCAAAGUCGAUAAUUUGGGGAGCGGCUAAAACGGCACUCGGAUAAUUACCCACAUUUACCACAAUUUACCGGUUCGCUGCUGUCACCAGUCGCAAAACGGAGCCAAGCUCGUUCCGUUGUUCUGAGGACAUGAGAAGUUGGGAGUUGACAACCGAAUGUAUUUCUUUCUAGAUUCUGAAAUGGGUGAACAGUUGUCUAUCAGCAUAUGCACAUCGCCACGAGGAUGUUGCGUACGUGCUGCACUAUUGGCACGUAGGCUUCCAUUUAUGUAUGCGCAUCCUGAUUUCUUAAUUCUAAUUUCCACACGUUUUCCUGUAAUAAUGCUUUUCCAAGAGAUUUCUCAGAUUCUCUCUGGUGCUAUUGCUUAUCAGGGUUGCCCAUACUACGCCUGAUGCGACCGGUCAGAACCCGUAUCUACGCACGAGCGAGCAGUCGUGAUCCGAUCCCCUCUUCUUCUAUCCUUUUUGGCAGCACCCGAUCCCGUCGUUUCCUCGGCGAAAACGACAGCCCGCCGCACUCGGCAUGUGCGCGGCACUCCACGGCGACAGUGGCGUAGCGCGCGCGCGCACACCGGGGGUCCGUCGAUCCGAUAAUCGCAACCUCGAUGGGUAGCCCGUGCCGACAAUGACGCGAGCCAGUGCGUGUACGUACGUCUCGACGGAGGCGGGGGUUCGCCAGUUCGACGAUGUCUAUCUAGCUGUGGCCGGCUGGCUGGCUCGUGUCAGCGCUUGCGCGCGUGAGGCGGAUGUGAAUCGGUGUGAACGAAGCGCGACCGCCGCCACCCUCGAUCGUGCGCUGCUCGAUCUGCUCUUGGUCGGACUCCGGUCAAAAUGGCCCUGAUGAACCUUGAAGGGUUCUGCACACGUGCUGGAAUGGAAUACAUUGUGCACGUACGGGAUCGGGGUCGGGAUCGAUGCGGAAGCGAGAGGAUCGAGUAAUUAAUCUGGCACGUAUNNNNNNNNNNNNNNNNNNNNNNNNNNNNNNNNNNNNNNNNNNNNNNNNNNNNNNNNNNNNNNNNNNNNNNNNNNNNNNNNNNNNNNNNNNNNNNNNNNNNNNNNNNNNNNNNNNNNNNNNNNNNNNNNNNNNNNNNNNNNNNNNNNNNNNNNNNNNNNNNNNNNNNNNNNNNNNNNNNNNNNNNNNNNNNNNNNNNNNNNNNNNNNNNNNNNNNNNNNNNNNNNNNNNNNNNNNNNNNNNNNNNNNNNNNNNNNNNNNNNNNNNNNNNUUUUUGCGGGCAUGUUUUGGUUCCUUCCUACUCCUACUACUUCUCCUUCGCCGCAGAUGCGCACUGUCAAUGCAGGGGAGACCGCGUCAGGCGGGAAAUAGUUUUUAAGAGGAGAUGUACAGUACGUGGGUGGAGAGACCGAGCUCUGGCCUCUGGCGUCGUCGGUGCACACGUGCGCGCCCUUGUUGGUGUUGGUGUUGUUUGGUGAUCGCUUCAUCAGCGCAACGCGUGACUCCGUCGUUAACGCGAUAGUUUAGCCUCUCUUUUUUUAGGUAUAAAGGGAUAGUUUAGCCAUUCAACAAAAUCUGCGGACGGCACACGGAGAGGUGGAGACAAAUAACGUCAAUCAGUGCCGUCACUGGGUCCUAAAGAAAAAUGGGCCGAAUUAGGGGCACAUACCUAGUGGGCUGCCACCAGGCCAAAUUCCCGUUUCUCUUUGCUGGCCGGUCGGCCUAUAUGGGCCUCGGCCCAUCCAGAGGAUAGAAGGAAAAGAAACGGAGAGGAAGGGAAACUGAAAAAAAACAUAGAUGACUUAUAAAAUAUUCCGAAAAAUAGAAAUGAUUGCGAAUAUAAAAAAAUUCAUGGAUUUCAAAAAAGUUCGUGAAUUUAAAGAAUGCUCAUGAAUUUAAGAAAUGCUCCUGGAUUAUAAAAGAAUGUUCAUGAAUUUUAAAACAUGUUCACAAAUUUGUAAAAAUGACAAUGAAUUUUAAAAGUGUUUGGGAUACAUCACGGGUGCCUCAACUUGUCCGGUGCGGUCACUUUGGUGCCUAAACUUGUAAAAUACACGAAACUGGUACCGUAACUUGUCCGAGCGUUCAAAUACGGUGCCUCCGUCCGUAUCCGGACAUAUGCCCUGCCCACGUGACGUGCCCACCUGUCAAUGGGUGUGAGAGGAGUGUGCUGGUUGUUUUAUAGAAAACUCCUUGUACUUUAUAUAAUUUUCACACAAGCUCCUAACAAUUUAUUUAAAUAGGUCAAACUACAUUGAUUCCACCUUUCACAACUAGGUCUCGCAUGUCAGCACAUGGGAUAAAAUUGUAAUAACAAAAAAAGAGCACCCGACAGGAUUCCAACUCAGUACGAGGGCGCACAGCCUAUCACUACGCCUAGAAUAGUUGACUGCGCAAUAUCCUAAUACUCUCAUAUUUAUCAAUAAACCGGGUGAAAUAAUAAAGAGAUAUAAAAAAGAAAAAUUCGAUUCGUGGGAAAUUGAAAAAAAUAUUAAGAAAUUCUCACAUUUGACAAAAAAGAACUAUUCAACAUAUUACAUGCCAUCAACUUAAGAAAGUUUUAGGGCUUUAAAAAUCACAUUUUUGAAAAAUCCUCACGCGUAUUAAAAAUUUUAAAUGUUUUUUUAAAUGCCUGUCAUGUAUUCAAAAAAAUUACAACACCUAUUUCAUAAAAUGUUCAAUAUGUCUUAAAAAAAUUAUGGUAAAAUUAUUCUUACAUCUCUACAAGCAUGUUUAACAUGUGUUAACACAUUUAUAGAAUUUAUUUUUUCUACACAAUUAUUUUUAAUACAUGUUGAACAAUUUUCAAAAUACAACAAUGUUGAUUUUUAAUAAUUAUGUAUUCUAAAAAUACAACAAAGAUACAAAAUAAUUCCGCAUGCUUGUGGUCCUGAGUGAAGAUGCAAAAAAAUUUGUAAUAUUUUAUUAUAUAUAUGUUGAACUGUUUAAAUCAACAUCAAUUUUAGAAAAAGUUCAUGGUUAAAUCAACAUCAAUUUUCCUAUUAUUGGCAUAUAGCAAGGGCUUAUUUGUGACAUUAAUUAAAUCUUAGGGAUUUUUGCACACAAAAAAACUCGUACGCAUUUCACCCAGCGCAGGCAUCGCUCACACCCACUGACAUGUGGGUCAGCCACCAGCUGUCAGUCCACGUGGACAGCACAUACGGUGGCAUACAGGCGGAGGCACCGUAUAUGCACCGUGCGACAAGUUAUAGCAUCAUUUUUUUGUAUUUUACAAGUUUAGGCACUAAACUGACCGCAACAGACAAGUUAAGGCACCUGUGAUGUAUUUCACGAACUAAAAGUUAAAAAAUGUAAAUGAAAAAAAAAUAGAAAAAUGAAUAAUAGGAAUGAAACCUGGUAAAACACUAGGGAAAAUAAAAAUUGGUUGGAAGCUUACCAAAAUCAUGGAAGAAAAAAAUUGUUAUAGGUCAGCCCAGUAGCACCCUUGAGUGAGGUUGCUCGACUCGCAACACUCGUAACACGUGGUAUAGGAGUCCAUCAAGUCCAUUGUGUAUUCAUUUUUUUUCACAUGUUGGGUCGUCAAAGUGGUAGCAGAGUCUCGUUUAAGCACCCUCAGAGUUUCCGCUUAAUUUUUCCCCAUUUGCCAAAUGCUUUUUUUCUCUAUAUACCCCGCUUACAGAAGUUGAGUUAGGGUUUGACACUCUUCAUCCUAGCAAUCCAAUCCAAUAUAUUAGCUUAGAAUUUAAAGUUAAUCGCCGGAAAUUACUAAAUACUGACACUUACUUAGUGUGCUACUACUAGUAUGCAUGGUGGGAGAGACAACAUCACCAACGGAAUGAGUCCGUCCAAGCACAUGCAAGAUUUGCUUUAUCCAUUCAAAUAUUGGCUCUAAAUUUGUCACCAUCCUGAAAUACCAUAGCAAAUCCGACAAAAUAAGCUGCUCGGUUAUAAUCACAUGUUGGUGUAGUUAAACUAAACGUGGAUGCAUCUUUCUUGCAUGAUGACUGCAAAAGAUCAUGUCGUGUUGCAAUAAGAGAUUUUGCUGGUGGUUUUGUUAAGACAAAGACUUUCUAUAUGGAUUCCGGCUCGAUGACGUCCGCGUUCAGCACACAUUCAGCUUUGCGUUCAACACACGUUUAGCUCGAUGACGUCCUCGCCUUCUUGAUCCAGCAAGAGAGUCGAAGUAGUAGAUGAGUUUUGGCAGCACGACGGUGUGGUGACGGUGAUGGUGAAACUAUCCGCAGGGCUUCGCCAAGCACAAUGGAUGUGGACGGAGGAGGAAUUAGAACUAGAGGGAGACGGGGCGCCGCACACGGCUUGGGGAUCGUGGUGUGUGUUGCCCCUCUCCCUCCUCACAUAUAUAUAGGUGGAGGGGGAGGCUACCUAGGAGCGCCCCCAAGGGGGCCGGCGGCCGCCCUGGGCGCCUACCCUAGGUGCCCCUUGAAAGAAAUAUGCCCUAUAGGCAAUAAUAAAGUUGUUAUUUAUAUUUCCUUAUAUCAUGAUAAAUGUUUAUUAUUCAUGCUAGAAUUGUAUUAACCGGAAACUUAGUACAUGUGUGAAUACAUAGACAAACAGAGUGUCACUAGUAUGCCUCUACUUGACUAGCUCGUUGAAUCAAAGAUGGUUAAGUUUCCUAGCCAUAGACAUGAGUUGUCAUUUGCUUAACGGGAUCACAUCAUUAGAGAAUGAUGUGAUUGACUUGACCCAUUCCGUUAGCUUAGCACUUGAUCGUUUAGUAUAUUGUUAUUGCUUUCUUCAUGACUUAUACAUGUUCCUAUGACUAUGAGAUUAUGCAACUCCUGAAUACCGGAGGAACACUUUAUGUGCUACCAAACGUCACAACGUAACUGGGUGAUUAUAAAGGUGCUCUACAUGUGUCUCCGAUGGUGUUUGUUGAGUUGGCAUAGAUCGAGAUUAGGAUUUGUCACUCCGAUUGUCGGAGAGGUAUCUCUGGGCCCUCUCGGUAAUGCACAUCACUAUAAGCCUUGCAAGCAUUGUGACCAAUGAGUUAGUUGCGGUAUGAUGCAUUACGGAACGAGUAAAGAGACUUGCGAUAACGAGAUUGAACUAGGUAUGAGGAUACCGACGAUCGAAUCUCAGGCAAGUAACAUACCGAUGACAAAGGGAACAACGUAUGUUGUUAUGCGGUUUGAUCGAUAAAGAUCUUUGUAGAAUAUGUAGGAGCCAAUAUGAGCAUCCAGGUUCCGCUAUUCUUUAUUGACCAGAGAGGUGUCUCGGUCAUGUCUACAUAGUUCUCGAACCCGUAGGGUCCGCACGCUUAACGUUCGAUGACGAUUUGUAUUAUGAGUUAUGUGAUUUGAUGACCGAAGUUUGUUCGGAGUCCCGGAUGAUAUCAGUGACAUGACGAGGAGUCUCGAAAUGGUCGAGAGGUAAAGAGCGAUAUAUUGGAAGGCUAUAUUCGGAUAUCGGAAAGGUUCCGAGUGAUUCGAGUAUUUUUCGGAGUACCGGAAAGUUACGGGAAUUCGCCGAGAGAAGUAUUGGGCCUUAUUGGGCCAUGCGGGAAUAGAGGAGGCAGGCCAAAGGGAAGAAGGCGCCCCCCCAUGGGUUCGAAUUGGACUAGGGGAAAGGGGGCGGCGUCCCCCCUUUCCCUUUCCUACUCCAUCUCUCUUUCCCUCUUUCUUCUCUCCUACUCCGGAAAGGAAAAAGGGGAUCCUACUAGGACUUGGGAGUCCUAGUCGGACUCCCCACACUUGGCGCACCCCCUCUAGGGCCGGCCUCCUCCUCCUCCCUCCUUUAUAUACGUGGGCAGGGGGCACCCCAAAGGCACAACAGACAAGCUCUUAGCCGUGUGCGGUGCCCCCUCCACAGUUACACACCUCGGUCAUAUCGUCGUAGUGCUGAGGCGAAGCCCUGCGCCGGUAACUUCAUCAUCAUCGUCGCCACGCCGUCGUGCUGACGGAACUCUCCCUUGGCCUCAACUGGAUCAAGAGUACGAGGGACGUCACCGAGCUGAACGUGUGCUGAACGCGGAGGUGUCGUACGUUCGGUGCUUGGAUCGGUUGGAUCGCGAAGACGUUCGACUACAUCAACCGCGUUACUAAACGCUUCCGCUUUCGGUCCACGAGGGUACAUGGACAACACUCUCCCCUCUCGCUGCUAUGCAUCACCAUGAUCUUGCGUGUGCGUAGGAAUUUUUUUGAAAUUACUGCGUUCCCUAACACCCCCCCCCCCUCCUUUCCUUCCUAGGGGGCUGGAGGAGAUGGCGGGAGGGGGGCCGGGCGGCUCCCUGCCAUAGGCGCCCCAACGCCCCAUUUCCUUUCCUAGAGGGCCGGCGGCUAGGAGGUGGGCGCGCCAGCCCCUUGUGGCUUGUGUGCUCCUUCCCUUGGCCCGUUUGGCCCAAUAAAUCCUUGUAGGUGUCCUGGAACCCCUUCCGGUGAUCCGAUAAAUACCCAGUGCAUUCUGAAACCUUUUCGGAGACCAAAUACUAUCAUCCUAUAUAUCAAUCUUUACCUCUGGACCAUUCUAGAGCUCCUCGUCAUGUCCGUGAUCUCAUCCGAGACUCCGAACAACAUUCGGUCACCAAUUCACAUAACUCGUAUAAUACUAUAUCGUCAACGAACGUUAAGCGUGCGGACCCUACGGGUUCGAGAAUGAUGUGUACAUGGCCGAGACGCUUCUCCGGUCAAUAACCAAAUAGCGGGAACUGGGUGCCCAUAUUGGUUCUUACAUAUUCUACGAAGAUCUUUAUCCGUCAAACCUUUAUAACAACAUACGUAAUUCCCUUUGUCUGUCAGUAUGUUACUUGCCCGAGAUUCGAUCGUCGGUAUCUCCAUACUGAUGAGGACAUGACUACCUUGGAUACGACCUAUUGCAUACAUGUAUAUUUGUGAGGUGAUUUAUAAGGCAAACUAUGCAAUAAUUUAUUUAUGUCAUCCUGGACAAAAAUACUUCACAAACUUUUGUCUCAUGUCUAAUUGCAGGUGUAUGGGACAUUUGUACAAUCCACAUAUGAAGAUAAAGGAAAAAGAGAAGUUUAUGUGCUCUUCAAAAAGUCCUCUCACGUCACUUUUGGGCCAAGAGAAGAUAGAUUCCAAGUCUCUCACGUUCUGGAUUUAGAUUCGGACUUCACAGACAUACCUGACUCAAAACGCCAAGAACUUUUUCAUACGGACUCUGAAUUGGGUGAUUCUUUUUUUGUUGGAAUGUAGAUUUCGUACACUUUCCAACCCAGUUGGAUUCACCUUCAAAUUCACCCGGAGCGUUGAGAUAUCAACGAAACAAUCUGUCAAUGCAGGAGAAUCCGAGUCAAACUAUAAGUCCAAAGGUGUUGCAUCACCUCCACUUGGGCCCAUGAGCCUUGUACGACCUAGUGUUAGUUUUAGGCUACCUUGGGACGUCCUACCACAUCCUUGGCCGCCACCCCUUACACCUAUGUAAGUAAAUCCAUCUAGUAGUUUUUUCCUUGGAAUUUGGUUAGUUAAAAGUUCGCCAUUGCAAUUUCGUGUACUUCGUUUGUGUCCAACGACCAGACCAAGACCGCUUUCGGAUCCCCACCUUUAUCAAUACUUCAUCUGUAUUUGCAAUAUUAAGAUUGCAUUAUCAUAUUCUUGUUUGUUCUUCGAUUGCGUGCAGGAAUAGACCUUCGUGGUCAGGCUGAUCGUGUUUCCAGCAUCGUUUGUAACCUCGGGAGAUUGGUUUAGCGAUUGAUAAGGCGCAACGUCGUGCACGUUUGUAGUCGGAUCGUCAAAGUCGACUCCACCAAAUUGAUAGUUAUCAUCUCAUCGAAAGAUCGAGACACCCCACCUCUAUCAAGUGGUAUCAGUUUUCAGGUUGCUCGGUGAGAAUUUUCAGCUUUACCUAGAUUAGAUUUAUCUUCUUACCUACUGUCCAAGAAAAAGCCACAAAAAAAGUUAGAUCUAUUCAUCCUUUAUCCAAACCAGUCCGAGCCUUUGCAAUUUUCUUUUCAUUGUUUGCAUUAUUGAAUUAUCGGUUGCAUCGUCAUGUCGAGUUGCAGAAGCUAGUUCAAUAUUUGACACCUCAAAAUCGGCUUCUAAAUAGGUCUUUUUGCCCUCCGAAGUUCACAAACACAGCUUAUUCCAGUUUUUCAGGCCAGCUUUAGAAUUUUUUGACUCCUCAUAUCAACUCGGAAUUGAGUGAUUCUUUUUGCGUUUGAAAGCUUGAGUCAGUGCCAUUCUUGAGAAAAAUUAUUAGAAAAUUGGCACAAACUUUUCCAGAGAAAAGUUGAAGAGAAAGUUGUUGAUAUAUCCUGCUUGGCUAUUGUUUCACAUCAUUAUCUUUACUACUAUUGUGAUCUUCACUUAUAUCUUGCUCUCCAGAGCUACUUCAUAUCCUUUAUUGAUGCUAGUUGUGCUACGUCGUGACCUUAUUAGUGUUCUAGGCUCGCGUCUCUAGUCCGGUCAAGCCUAGGACCAGCACAAUACCAUCGUUGAGCGUUUAUUCAACAUUGCAUCUCUGAAUUGAUUCUUGCUAAUCUUUUGCUACCAUACAUAGCCAACCCAGCUCCACAUGUUUCUACACCGUGUAUACGUACGUUCCCCUGACAGUCACUUUACUCAAUCUUCGGAGUUAGUUGACACCGCUGGUUGCCUGUCACCACCUGCUGCAUGGUAAGAACUUGUAAGGUAUUGAUAUUUGUUAUACUGUGAGCGUUUUACCACCACAUCCAAGUAGUUCAUAGGAACAUUAUUCUCAGAUUUUGUUUCUUGUUUUCUACUAACUAUGAUAGGUUACGGAGUUGUUAGUUCUUGGGCUUCAUCGAUCGUGGGCAAUUUGCCAUCACCUAAGAAAAUACAACAGCCGUCACAAGGGGAGCAACAACAUCAGAAUGCACAUAAUCAGGUUAAUGUUUCCAUGCCACCAUUUACUGGUCGUUUUAGGCCUGAUUUAUAUAUUGAAUGGGAGUACGAAAUAAAUGCUAUAUUUGCUUCCCAUACUUUUGGUGAGCGUGGAAAAUUUCAAGCUGCGGUUAGUACUUUCGGUAGCUUUGCUUUAGUUUGGUGGAGUGAAUAUUGUUGGUUAAACCCUGAUUUUAUACCAUACUACUUAGGAUGAUUUAAAACUUGUCAUGAGAGACAGAUUAGUUGAUGUUUAUUAUACUCGUGGCAUGAUUAAGAAAUUACAACAUUUAAAACAAGGUAGUGACACCGUAACAAAAUACUAUGAUGAUUUACAAACUACCUUGUUGCAUUCUUUUUAGAAGAAAGUGAAGAAGAUUUAAUGGAUAGAUUUUGGGGAGGAUUAAACCGUGAUAUUCAGGAGAUACUAAUCCAUGAAGAGUGUUAUUCUAUGGACCGUUUGUUUCGUCUUGCUUGCAAAGCUGAACAGAAAAUAAAACGACGUGUUGCCCAUAAGGAGAACAAACGCACGGUGCACAUUCCAGGAGUUGAUUCGGUUGUUCCUUCAACUACUAGGCAUACUAUGCCAACCACAUCCAUUGUUGUGAGGACCACAUCACCUCCACCAUGUGACACAUCACCACCGAGAGUGCCUACAUCAUCUGAGUUGGUCAUAAAAGGUAAUGACAAAGGUACUGAACUUUCACCUCCACAUGAGUACGAUGAAUGCCUUGUCAAUUUCAAUGCACCAUGUGAUGACCUACCCACUACUUUGAUCACACCACCUAUUUUAGAGGACUAUAUUGAUGAUUUGACUUUGCCAUGUGAUCAAACAAAUGCAAUAUCAACAUUGUCGAGUGCACCCAUUGAAAUAACUGAGAAAGAGUCAUGUGAAUCAGGGAAUCAAUCACAUUUGGAUCAAAUACGUUUGAAAAUAGUUGUGCCAAUGUUUAAUCAUUUUGAUAUGACCUCUAAUCUUGGUGAUGAUUCUGUGUCAAAUGACUUAUUGCAUGUUUGCUUAUUUAAGCAUGUUGUAGUAUGUAAAUUUGAUGCUAGUAAGGUUUAUUCACAAAUGUUGGGAUGGUUUAAUGAUGAACAUUGUCAAUCCUUUGAUAUGAAUAAGAGCUUCACUUGUAUGUGCAAAUUGAGUUGCGAUAUUUUCAUGCCUUCUACUAAUUGUGAUGAUAUUUUGGCUUUACAUUUAUGAACUAUGAAAGUUACUCAUGUAUACAUAUGUCAUAUGUGCAAAAAUCAAGGAAAGUGAAAAUGGAUGACAUAUACAUAUACAACAUGUACACCUUGUCUCUUUUGUUAGCCACAUUUUAGAUUAAGCAACGCCGAGGAUGGCUUUGUUUUCAAAAAUGUGAGGAUGAUGAGGACAUGACUACCUUGGAUACGACCAAAAAUAUUGCAUACAUGUAUAUUUGUGAGGUGAUUUCUAAUGCAAACUAUGCAAUAAUUUAUUUAUGUCAUCCUGGACAAAAAUACCUCAUAAACUUUUGUCUCGUGUCUAAUUGCAGGUGUAUGGGACAUUUGUACAAUCCACAUAUGAAGAUAAAGGAAAAAAGAGAAGUUUAUGUGCUCUUCAAAAAGUCUUCUCACGUUACUUUUAGGCCAAGAGAAGAUAGAUUCCAAGUCUCUCACGUUCUGGAUUCAGAUUCGGACUGCACAGACAUACCUGACUCAAAACGCCAAAAAAAAAUUCAUACGGACUCCGAAUUGGGUGAUUCUUUUUUUGUUGGAAAGUUGAUUUCGUGCUCUUUCCAACCUAGUUGGAUUCACCUUCAAAUUCACCCGGAGCGUUGAGAUAUCAACAAAACAAUCUGACACUGUAGCAAAAUCCGAGUCAAACUACAAGUCCAAAGGUGUUGCAUCACCUCCACUUGGGCCCAUGAGCCUUGUACGACCUAGUGUUAGUUUUAGGCUACCUUGGGACGUCCUCCCACCUCCUUGGCCGCCACCCCUUACUCCUAUAUAAGUAAAUCCAUCUAAUGGCUUUUUCCUUGGGAUUUAUUUAGUUAAAAGUUCGCCAUUGCAACUUCGUGUACUUCGUUUGUGUCCAACGACCAGACCAAGACCGCUUUCGGAUCCCCACCUUUAUCAAUACUUCAUCUAUAUUCGGAAUAUUAAGAUUGCAUUAUCAUAUUCUUGCUUGUUCUUUGAUUGCGUGUAGGAAUAGACCAUCGUGGUCUGGCUGAUCGUGUUUCCAGCAUCGUCAGUAACCUUGGGAGAUUGGUUUAGCGAUUGAUAAGGCGCAACAUCGUGCAUGUUUGUAGUCGGAUUCUCAAAGUCGACUCCACCAAAUCGACAGUUAUAAUCUCAUCGAAAGAUCGGGACACCCCGCCUCUAUCACAUACCUAGUUCAAUCUCGUCACCGGCAAGUCUCUUUACUCGUUUCGUAAUACAUCAUCUUGUAACUAACUCCUUAGUCACUUUGCUUGCAAGCUUCUUGUGAUGUGUAUUACCGAGAGGGCCCAGAGAUACCUCUCCGUCAUACGGAGUGACAAUUCUCAAUCUCGAUUCAUGCCAACUCAACAGACUCCUUCGGAGAUACUUGUAGAGCAUCUUUAUGAUCACUCAGUUAUGCUGUGACAUUUGAUAGCACAAAAGGUAUUCUUCCAGAAUCCGGGAGUUGCAUGAUCUCAUGUUUAAGGAAUAUGUAUUUGACAUUAAGAAAGCAGUAGCAAUAAAUUGAACGAUCAUAUGAUAUGCUAACAGAUGGGUCUUAUCCAUCACAUCAUUCUCCUAAUGAUGUGAUCUCGUUAUCAUGUGGCAACACAUGUCUAUGGUUAGGAAACCUUAACCAUCUUUUGAUCAACGAGCUCGUCUAGUAGAGGCUGACUAGGGACACGGUAUUUGUUUAUGUAUCCACACAUGUAUUUAAGUUUCCGGUCAAUACAAUUCUAGCAUGAAUAAUAAACCUUUAUCAUGAUUAAGGAAAUAUAAUAAUAAUCACUUUAUUGUUGCCUCUAGGGCAUAUUUCCAACAGGAUAUACAUAACAUCGAUGUCCAUUCAGAUUGUCUGAACCUCUUCAAAUGCAUAAGGAGUGGCAUGUAAUCUUUUGCGAUAGCAGCCCCAUCAAUGAUAACUAUUUCGAUUUAGUCAAGGAAUUCACGAGCAUCACCCUUGAGCAUUGUGUGUGAACAUCUAAUCGUGUGGCUCAAAAGUUAACUACCUUGACUAGGGGUCAUCCUUUGACUGUGUGGACGGAAUGUUGGGGAACGUAGUAUUUUAAAAAAAAUCCUACGAUCACGCAAGAUCUAUCUAGGAGAAGCAUAGCAAUGCGCGGGGAGAGUGUGUCCACGUACCCUCGUAGACCGAAAGCGGAAGCGUUUAUCAACGCGGUUGAUGUAGUCGUACGUCUUCACGAUCCGACCGAUCCUAGCACCGAACAUACGGCACCUCCGUGUUCAGCACAUGUUUAGCUCGAUGAGGUCCCUCGUACUCCUGAUCCAGUUGAGGCCGAGGGAGAGUUCCGUCAGCACGAUGGCGUGGCGAUGGUGGUGAUGAAGUUACCGGCGCAGGGCUUCGCCUAAGCACUACGACGAUAUGACCGAGGUGUGUUUCUGUGGAGGGGAGCACUGCACACGGCUAAAAGAUCAACUUGUGUGUUCUAGGGUGCCCCCCUCCCCGCGUAUAUAAAGGAGGGAGGGAGGAGGAGGCCGGCCAAGGGUGGCGCACCCAAGGGGGGAGUCCUACUCCAAGUAGGAUUCGCCCCCCCCCUUUCCUAUUCCCUCAAGGAGAAGGGAAAAGGAGGAGGAGAGAAGGAAGGGGGGGGCGCCCCAAACCCCAGUCCAAUUCGGUUUGGCUAGGGGGCACGUGCCACUCCUUGGCCUGCCUCCUCUCUUCCACCACUAGGACCAUGAGGCCCAAUAACUUCCCGGGGGGUUCCGGUAACCCUCGGUACUCCGAAACUUAUCUGAAACAACCCGAACCAUUCCGAUGUCCGAAUAUAACCUUCCAAUGUAUGAAUCUUUAUGUCUCAACCAUAUCGAGACUCCUCGUCACGUCCGUGAUCUCAUCCGGGACUCCGAAAAAACUUUGGUACAUCAAAUCACAUAACUCAUAAUCCAAAUCGUCAUCGAACGUUAAGCGUGCGGACCUGCGGGUUCGAGAACUAUGUAGACAUGACCGAGACACAUCUCCGGUCAAUAAACAAUAGCAGAACCUGGAUGCCCAUACUGGCUCCUACAUAUUCUACUAAGAUCUUUAUCGGUUAAACCGCAUAACAACAUACGUUGUUCCCUUUGUCAUCGAUAUGUUACUUGCCCGAGAUUCGAUCGUCGGUAUCACCAUACCUAGUUCAAUCUCGUUACCGGCAAGUCUCUUUACUCAUUCCAUAAUGCAUCAUCCUGCAACUAACUCAUUAGUCACAUUGCUUGCAAGGCUUAUAGUGAUGUGCAUUACCGAGAGGUCCCAGAGAUACCUCUCCGACAAUCGGAGUGACAAAUCCUAAUCUCGAUCUAUGCCAACUCAACAAACACCACUGGAGACACCUGUAGAGCAUCUUUAUAAUCACCCAGUUACGUUGUGAUGUUUGAUAUCACACUAAGUGUUCCUCCAGUAUUCGAGAGUUGCAUAAUCUCAUAGUCAUAGGAACAUGUAUAAGUCAUGAAGAAAGCAAUAGCAAUAAACUAAACGGUUAUAGUGCUAAGCUAACGGAUGGGUCUUCUCCAUCACAUCAUUCUCUAAUGAUGUGAUCCCAUUCAUCAAAUGACAACACAUGUCUAUGGCUAGGAAACUUAACCAUAUUUGAUUAAUGAGUUAGUCUAGUAGAGGCAUACUAGGGACACUCUGUUUGUCUAUGUAUUCACACAUGUACUAAGUUUCUGGUUAAUACAAUUCUAGCAUGAAUAAUAAAAAAUUAUCACGAUAUAAGGAAAUAUAAAUAACAACUUUAUUAUUGCCUCUAGGGCAUAUUUCCUUCAGUAUGCCACUUGCACUAGAGUCAAUAAUCUAGAUUACAUAGUAAUGAUUCUAACACCCAUGGAGUCUUGGUGCUGACCAUGUUUUGCUCGUGAGAGAGGCUUAGUCAACGGGUCUACAACAUUCAGAUCCGUAUGUAUUUUGCAAAUCUCUAUGUCUCCCUCCUUGACUUGAUCGCGGAUGGAAAUGAAGCGUCUCUUGAUGUUCUUUGUUCUCUUGUGAAAUCUGAAUUCCUUUGCCAAGGCAAUUGCACAAGUAUUGUCACAAAAGAUUUUCAUUGGACCCGGUUGAAGGAAAUAUGCCCUAGAGGCAAUAAUAAAGUUGUUAUUUAUAUUUCCUUAUAUCAUGAUAAAUGUUUAUUAUUCAUGCUAGAAUUGUAUUAACCGGAAACUUAGUACAUGUGUGAAUACAUAGACAAACAGAGUGUCACUAGUAUGCAUGUACUUGACUACCUCGUUAAUCAAAGAUGGUUAAGUUUCCUAGCCAUGGACAAGAGUUGUCAUUUGAUGAACGGGAUCACAUCAUUAGAGAAUGAUGUGAUUGACUUGACCCAUUCGUUAGCUUAGCACUAUGAUCGUUUAGUUUAUUGCUAUUGCUUUCUUCAUAACUUAUACAUGUUCCUAUGACUAUGAGAUUAUGCAACUCCCAAAUACCGGAGGAACACCUUGUGUGCUAUCAAACAUCACAAUGUAACUGGGUGACUAUAAAGAUGCUCUACAGGUGUCUCCGAUGGUGUUUGUUGAGUUGGCAUAGAUCGAGAUUAGGGUUUGUCACUCUGAUUGUCGGAGAGGUAUCUCUGGGGCCUCUCGGUAAUGCACAUCACUGUAAGCCUUGCAAGCAAUGUGACUAAUGAGUUAGACACGGGAUGAUGCAUUACGGAACGAGUAAAGAGACUUGCCGGUAAUGAGAUUGAACUAGGUAUUGAGAUACCGACGAUCAAAUCUUGGGCAAGUAACAUACCGAUGACAAAGGGAACAACGUAUGUUGUUAUGCGGUUUGACCGAUAAAGAUCUUCGUAGAAUAUGUAGGAACCAAUAUGAGCAUCCAGGUUACGCUAUUGGUUAUUGACCAGAAGUGAGUCUCGGUCAUGUGUACAUAGUUCUCGAACCCAUAGGGUCCGCACGCUUAACGUUCGAUGACGAUCGGUAUUAUGAGUUUAUGUGUUUUGAUGUACCAAACGUUGUUCGAAGUCCCAUAUGUGAUCACGGACAUGACGAGGAGUCUCGAAAUGAUCGAGACAUAAUGAUCGAUAUAUUGGAAGGCUAUGUUUGGACACUGGAAGGGUUCCGAAUGAGUUCGGGCAUUUACCGGAGUACCGGGGGGUUACCGGAACCCCUCGGGGAGUCAAUGGGCCUUAUUGGGCCUUAGUGGGAGAGAGGAGGAGUCGCCCAGGUGGAGGGCGCACCCCCCAAGCCCAAUCCGAAUUGGGUGGGGGACCGGGCCCCCCUUUCCUUCCCUCUCUCUCCCUCUUCCUUCUUCUCCUACUCCAACAAGGGAAGGGGGGAACCUACUCCUACUAGGAGUAGGACUCCCCCCUUGGGCGCGCCCUAUGAGGGCCGGCCCUCCCCUCCUCCACUCCUUUAUAUACGGGGAAGGGGGCACCCCAUAGAAACACAAGUUGACAGUUUUCUUAGCCGUGUGCGGUGCCCCCCCUCCACAUAUUUCCACCUCGGUCAUAUCGUUGUAGUGCUUAGGCCAAGCCCUGCGUCGGUAACUUCAUCAACACCGUCACCACGCCGUCAUGCUGACGGAACUCUCCCUCGGCCUCAGCUGGAUCAAGAGUAUGAGGGACGUCACCGAGGUGAACGUGUGCAAAUCGCGGAGGUGCCGUGCGUUCGGUACUUGGAUCGGUUGGAUCGCGAAGACGUUCGACUACAUCAACCGCGUUACUAAACGCUUCCGCUUCCAGUCUACGAGGGUACGUGGACACACUCUCCCCGCUCGUUGAUAUGCAUCACCAAGAUGGAUCUUGCGUGUGCGUAGGUAUUUUUUUUGAAAUACUACGUUCCCCAACAGUGGCAUCCGAGCCAGGUCUAUGCGUAGAUGUUAUAUGCACGAGUAGAACACAAAGAGUUGUGGGUGAUAAUAGUCAUACUGCUUACCAGCAUGUCAUACUUUGAUUCAGCGAUAUUGUUGGAUGAAGCGGCUCAGACCGACAUUACGCGUACGCUUACGCGAGACUGGCUUUGCCGACGUGCUUCGCACACAGGUGGCUAGUGGGUGUCUGUUUCUCCAACUUUAGUUGAAUCGAGUGUGACUACGCCUGAUCCUUGUUGAAGGUUAAAACAGCAAACUUGACGAAAAAUCGUUGUGGUUUUGAUGCGUAGGUAAGUACGGUUCUUGCUAAGCCCGUAGCAGCCACGUAAAACUUGCAACAACAAAGUAGAGGAUGUCUAACUUGUUUUUGCAGGGCAUGUUGUGAUGUGAUAGUCAAGACGUGAUUAUAUAAAUUGUUGUAUGAGAUGAUCAUGUUUUGUAACACAGUUAUCGGCAACUGGCAGGAGCCAUAUGGUUGUCGCUUUAUUGUAUGAAAUGCAAUCGCCAUGUAAUUGCUUUACUUUAUCACUAAGCGGUAGCGAUAGUCCUAGAAGCAAUAGUUGGCGAGACGAAAACGAUGCUUCGAUGGAGAUCAAGGUGUCAAGCCGGUGACGAUGGUGAUCAUGACGGUACUUUGGAGAUGGAGAUAAAAGGCACGAGAUGAUGAUGGCCAUAUCAUAUCACUUAUAUUGAUUGCAUGUGAUGUUUAUCCUUUAUGCAUCUUAUUUUGCUUAGUACGGCGGUAGCAUUAUAAGAUGAUCUCUCACUAAAUUUCAAGGUAUAAGUGUUCUCCCUGAGUAUGCACCGUUGCUACAGUUCGUCGUGCCAAGACACCACGUGAUGAUCGUGUGUGAUAAGCUCUACGUUCACAUACAACGGGUGCAAGCCAGUUUUGCACACGCAGAAUACUCGGGUUAAACUUGACGAGCCUAGCAUAUGCAGAUAUGGCCUCAGAACACUGAGACCGAAAGGUCGAGCGUGAAUAAUAUAGUUGAUAUGAUCAACAUAGUGAUGUUCACCAUUGAAAACUACACCAUCUCACGUGAUGAUCGGACAUGGUUUAGUUGAUAUGGAUCACGUGAUCACUUAGAUGAUUAGAGGGAUGUCUAUCUAAGUGGGAUUCUUAAGUAAUAUGAUUAAUUGAACUUUAAUUUAUCAUGAACUUAGUACAUGAUAGUAUUUUGCAUGUCUAUGUUGUUGUAGAUAAAUGGCCCGUGCUGUUGUUUCGUUGAAUUUUAUUGCGUUCCUGGAGAAAGCUAAGUUGAAAGCUGAUGGUAGCAAUUACACAGACUGGGUCCAUAACUUGAGGAUUAUCCUCAUUGCUGCACAAAAGAAUUAUGUCCUGGAAGCACCGCUAGGUGCCAAACCCGCUGCAGGAGCAACGCCAGAUGUUAUGAACGUCUGGCAGAGCAAAGCUGAUGACUACUCGAUAGUUCAGUGUGCCAUGCUUUACGGCUCAGAACCGGGACUUCAACAACGUUUUGAACGUCAUGGAGCAUAUGAGAUGUUCCAGGAAUUGAAGUUAAUAUAUCAAGCAAAUGCCCGGAUUGAGAGAUAUGAAGUCUCCAAUAAGUUCUACAACUGCAAAAUUGAGGAGAAUAGUUCUGUCAGUGAGCAUAUACUCAGAAUGUCUGGGUACCACAAUCACUUGACUCAGCUGGGAGUUAAUCUUCUAGUUGAUAGUGUCAUUGACAGAGUUCUUCAAUCACUGCCACCAAGCUACAAAAGCUUUGUGAUGAACUAUAAUAUGCAAGGGAUGGAUAAGACAAUUCCCGAGCUCUUCGCGAUGCUAAAAGCUGCGGAGGUAGAAAUCAAGAAGGAGCAUCAAGUGUUGAUGGUCAACAAGACCACCAGUUUCAAGAAAAAGGGUAAAGGGAAGCCGGGGAACUUCAAGAAGAACGGCAAGCAAGUUGCUGCUCAAGUGAAGAAGCCCAAGUCUGGACCUAAGCCUGAGACUGAGUGCUUCUACUCCAAAGGGACUGGUCACUGGAAGCGGAACUGCCCCAAGUAUUUGGCGGAGAAGAAGGAUGGCAAAGUGAAAGGUAUAUUUGAUAUACAUGUUAUUGAUGUGUACCUUACUAAUGCUCGCAGUAGCACCUGGGUAUUUGAUACCGGUUCUGUUGCUAAUAUUUGAAGCUCGAAACAGGGGCUACGGAUUAAGUGAAGAUUGGCUAAGGACGAGAUGACGAUGCGCGUGGGAAAUGGUUCCAAAGUCGAUGUGAUCGCUGUCGGCACGCUACCUCUACAUCUACCUUCAGGUUUAGUUUUAGACCUGAAUAAUUGUUAUUUGGUGCCAGCAUUAAGCAUGAACAUUAUAUCUGGAUCUUGUUUGAUGCGAGACGGCUAUUCAUUUAAAUCAGAGAAUAAUGGUUGUUCUAUUUAUAUGAGUAAUAUCUUUUAUGGUCAUGCACCCUUGAUGAGUGGUCUAUUUUUACUAAAUCUCGAUAGUAGUGAUACACAUAUUCAUAGUAUUGAAGCCAAAAGAUAUAAGUUUAAUAAUGAUAGUGCAACUUAUUUGUGGCACUGCCGUUUGGGUCAUAUUGGUGUAAAGCGCAUGAAGAAACUCCAUUCUGAUGGGCUUUUGGAAUCACUUGAUGCUUGUGAACCAUGCCUCAUGGGCAAGAUGAUUAAAACUCCGUUCUCCAGAACAAUGGAGCGAGCAACAGACUUGUUGGAAAUAAUACAUAUUGAUGUAUGCGGUCCGAUGAGUGUUGAAGCUCGCGGCGGGUAUCGUUAUUUUCUGACCUUCACAGAUGAUUUGAGGAGAUAUGGGUAUAUCUACUUAAUGAAACAUAAGUGUGAAACAUUUGAAAAGUUCAAAGAAUUUCGGAGUGAAGUCAAAAAUCAUCGUAACAAGAAAAUAAAGUUUCUACGAUCUGAUCGUGGAGGAGAAUAUUUGAGCUACGAGUUUGGUCUUCAUUCGAAACAAUGUGGAAUAGUUUCGCAACUCACGCCACCCGGAACACCACAGCGUAAUGGUGUGUACGAGCGUCGUAACCGCACUUUAUUAGAUAUGGCACGAUCUAUGAUGUCUCUUACUAAUUUACCGCUAUCGUUUUGGGGUUAUGAUUUAGAGACGGCUGCAUUCACGUUAAAUAGGGCGCCAUCUAAAUCCUUUGAGACGACACCAUACGAACUGUGGUUUGGCAAGAAACCCAAGUUGUUAUUUCUUAAAGUUUGGGGCUGCGUUGCUUAUGUGAAAAAGCUUCAACCUGAUAAGCUCGAACCCAAAUCGGAGAAAUGUGUCUUAUAGGAUACCCAAAGGAGACUGUUGGGUACACCUUCUAUCACAGAUCCGAAGGCAAGAUAUUCGUUGCUAAGAAUGGAUCCUUUCUAGAGAAGGAGUUUCUCUCGAAAGAAGUGAGUGGGAGGAAAGUAUAACUUGAGGAGGUAAUUGUACCUGCUCCCUUAUUGGAAAGUAGUUCAUCACAGAAAUCAGUUCUAGUGAUUCCUACACCAAUUAGUGAGGAAGCUAAUGAUGAUGAUCAUGAAACUUCUGAUCAAGUUACUACCGAACCUCGUAGGUCAACCAGAGUAAGAUCCGCAGCAGAGUGGUACGGUAAUCCUGUUCUGGAGGUCAUGUUACUUGACCAUGAUGAACCUACGAACUAUGAGGAAGCGAUGAUGAGCCCAGAUUCUGCAAAAUGGCUUGAGGCCAUGAAAUCUGAGAUAGGAUCCAUGUAUGAGAACAAAGUGUGGACUUUGGUUGACUUGCCCGAUGAUCGGCAAGCCAUAGAGAAUAAAUGGAUCUUCAAGAAGAAGACUGACGCUGACGGUAAUGUUACUGUCUACAAAGCUCGAAUUGUCGAAAAAAGGUUUUCGACAAGUUCAAGGAGUUGACUACGAUGAGACCUUCUCACCCGUAGCGAUGCUUAAGUCCGUCCGAAACAUGUUAGCAAUUGCCGCACUUUAUGAUUAUGAAAUUUGGCAAAUGGAUGUCAAAACUGCAUUUCUUAAUGGAUAUCUUAAAUAAGAGUUGUAUAUGAUGUAACCAGAAGGUUUUGUCGAUCCAAAAGGUGCUAACAAAGUGUGCAAGCUCCAGCGAUCCAUUUAUGGACUGGUGCAAGCAUCUCGGAGUUGGAAUAUACGCUUUGAUAGUGUGAUCAAAGCAUAUGGUUUUAUACAGACAUUUGGAGAAGCUCGUAUUUACAAGAAAGGAAGUGGGAUCUCUGUAGCAUUUAUGAUAUUAUAUGUGGAUGACAUAUUGUUAAUCGGAAAUGAUAUUGAAAUUCUGAAUAGCAUAAAAGGAUACUUGAAUAAGAAUUUUUCAAUGAAAGACCUCGGUGAAGCUGCUUAUAUAUUAGGCAUCAAGAUCUAUAGAGAUAGAUCAAGACGCUUAAUUGGACUUUCACAAAGGACAUACCUUGAUAAAGUUUUGAAGAAGUUCAAAUGGAUCAAGCAAAGAAAGGGUUCUUGCCUGUGUUACAAGGUGUGAAGUUGAAUCAGACUCAAUGCCCGACCACUGCAGAAGAUAGAGAGAAAAUGAAAGUCAUUUCCUAUGCUUCAGCCAUAGGUUCUAUCAUGUAUGCAAUGCUGUGUACCAGACCUUCAUCUAGACUCCUUCAUUGCAUACAUGAUAGAUCCUAUAGCUGAGGCAUAGGGAAUGACUUUCAUUUUCUCUCUAUCUUCUACAGUGGUCGGGCAUUGAGUCUGACUCAACUUCACACCUUGUAACACAAGCAAGAACCCAUUCUUUGAUUGAUCCAUUUUGAACUUCUUCAAAAUUUUAUCAAGGUAUGUGCUUUGUGAAAGUCCAAUUAAGCGUCUUGAUCUAUCUCUAUAGAUCUUGAUGCCCAAUAUAUAAGCAGCUUCACCGAGGUCUUUCAUUGAAAACUUCUUAUUCAACUAUCCUUUUAUGCUAUCCAGAAAUUCAGUAUCGUUUCCGAUCAACAAUGUGUCAUCCACAUAUAAUAUCAGAAAUGCUGCAGAGCUCCCACUCACUUUCUUGUAAAUACAGGCUUCUCCAAAAGUCUGUACAAAACCAUAUGCUUUGAUCACACUAUCAAAGCGUAUAUUCCAACUCCGAGAUGCUUGCACCAGUCCAUAAAUGGAUCGCUGGAGCUUGCACACUUUGUUAGCACCUUUUGGAUCGACAAAACCUUCUGGUUGCAUCAUAUACAACUCUUCUUUAAGAUAUCCAUUAAGAAAUGCAGUUUUGACAUCCAUUUGCCAAAUUUCAUAAUCAUAAAGUGCGGCAAUUGGUAACAUGAUUCAGACGGACUUAAGCAUCGCUACGGGUGAGAAGGUCUCAUCGUAGUCAACUCCUUGAACUUGUCGAAAACCUUUUUUCGACAAUUCGAGCUUUGUAGACAGUAACAUUACCGUCAGCGUCAGUCUUCUUCUUGAAGAUCCAUUUAUUCUCUAUGGCUUUCCGAUCAUCGGGCAAGUCAACCAAAGUCCACACUUUGUUCGCAUACAUGGAUCCUAUCUCAGAUUUCAUGGCCUCAAGCCAUUUUGCAGAAUCUGGGCUCGUCAUCGCUUCCUCAUAGUUCGUAGGUUCGUCAUGGUCAAGUAACAUGACCUCUAGAACAGGAUUACCGUACCACUCUGCUGCGGAUCUUACUCUGGUUGACCUACGAGGUUCGGUAGUAACUUGAUCAGAAGUUUCAUGAUCAUCAGCAUUAGCUUCCUCACUAAUUGGUGUAGGAAUCACUAGAACUGACUUCUGUGAUGAACCACUUUCCAAUAAGGGAGCAGGUACAAUUACCUCAUCAAGUUAUACUUUCCUCCCACUCACUUCUUUCGAGAGAAACUCCUUCUCUAGAAAGGAUCCAUUCUUAGCAAUGAAUGUCUUGCCUUCGGAUCUGUUAUAGAAGGUGUACCCAACAGUCUCCUUUGGGUAUCCUAUGAAGACACAUUUCUCCGAUUUGGGUUCGAGCUUAUCAGGUUGAAGCUUUUUCACAUAAGCAUCGCAGCCCCAAACUUUAAGAAAUAACAACUUGGGUUUCUUGCCAAACCACAGUUUGUAUGGUGUCGUAUCAAAGGAUUUAGAUGGUGCCCUAUUUAACAUGAAUGCAGCCAUCUCUAAAUCAUAACCCCAAAACGAUAGCGGUAAAUUAGUAAGAGACAUCAUAGAUCGCACCAUAUCUAAUAAAGUGCGGUUACGACGUUCGUACACACCAUUACGCUAUGGUGUUCCGGGUGGCGUGAGUUGCGAAACUAUUCCGCAUUGUUUUGAAUGAAGACCAAACUCGUAACUCAAAUAUUCACCUCCAUGAUCCGAUCGUAGAAACCUUAUUUUCUUGUUACGAUCAUUUUCGACUUCACUCUGAAAUUCUUUGAACUUUUCAAAUGUUCCACACUUAUGUUUCAUUAAGUAGAUAUACCCAUAUCUCCUCAAAUCAUCUGUGAAGGUCAGAAAAUAACGAUACCCGCCGCGAGCUUCAACACUCAUCGGACCGCAUACACUAGUAUGUAUUAUUUCCAACAAGUCUGUUGCUCGCUCCAUUGUUCCGGAGAAUGGAGUCUUAGUCAUCUUGCCCAUGAGGCAUGGUUCGCAAGCAUCAAGUGAUUCAUAAUCAAGUGAUUCCAAAAUCCCAUAAGCAUGGAGUUUCUUCAUGCGCUUUACACCAAUAUGACCUAAACGGCAGUGCCACAAAUAAGUUGCACUAUCAUUAUUAAACUUAUAUCUUUUGGCUUCAAUACUAUGAAUAUGUGUAUCACUACUAUCGAGAUUCAACAAAAAUAGACCACUCAUCAAGGGUGCAUGACCAUAAAAGGUAUUACUCAUAUAAAUAGAACAACCAUUAUUCUCUGAUUUAAAUGAAUAACUGUCUCGCAUCAAACAAGAUCCAGAUAUAAUGUUCAUACUUAACGCUAGCACCAAAUAACAAUUAUUCAGGUCUAAAGCUAAUCCCGAAGGUAGAUGUAGAGGUAGCGUGCCGACGGCGAUCACAUCGACUUUGGAACCAUUUCCCACGCGCAUCGUCACCUCGUCCUUAGCCAAUCUUCGUUCAAUCUGUAGUCCCUAUUUCGAGUUGCAAAUUUGAGCAAUAGAACCAGUAACAAAUACCCAGGCGCUACUACGAGCAUUAGUAAGGUACACAUCAGUAACAUGUAUAUCAAAUAUACAUUUCACUUUGCCAUCCUUCUUAUCCGCCAAGUACUUGGGGCAGUUCCGCUUCCAGUGACUAGUCCCUUUGCAGUAGAAGCACUCAGUCUGAGGCUUAGCUCCAGACUUGGGCUUCUUCACUUGAGCAGCAACUUGCUUGCCAUUCUUCUUGAAGUUCCCCUUCUUCCCUUUGCCCUUCUUCUUGAAACUAGUGGUUUUGUUAACCAUCAACACUUGAUGCUCCUUCUUGAUUUCUACCUCCGCAACCUUUAGCAUCGCGAAGAGCUCGGGAAUUGUCUUAUCCAUCCCUUGCAUAUUAUAUUUCAUCACGAAGCUUUUGUAGCUUGGUGGUAGUGAUUGAAGAACUUUGUCAAUGACACUAUAAACCGGAAGAUUAACUCCCAGCUGAGUCAAGUGAUUAUGAUACCCAGACAUUUUGAGUAUAUGUUCACUGAUAGAACUAUUCUCCUCUAUUUUGCAGCCAUAGAACUUAUUGGAGACUUGAUAUCUCUCAAUCCGGGCAUUUGCUUGAAAUAUUAACUUCAAAUCCUGGAACAUCUCAUCUGCUCCAUGACGUUGAAAACGUCGUUGAAGUCCUGGUUCUAAGUCGUAAAGCAUGGCACACUGAACUAUCGAGUAGUCAUCCGCUUUGCUUUGCCAGGCGUUCAUAACGUCCGGCGUUGCUCCUGCAGUGGGUCUUGCAGCUAGCGGUGCUUUCAGGACGUAAUUCUUCUGUGCAGCAAUGAGGAUAAUCAUCAGAUCACGGAGAUAGUCCGCAUCAUUGCUACUAACAUCUUUCAACUUAUUUUUCUCUAGGAACAUAUCAAAAAUAAAUGGGGAGCUACAUCGCAAGCUAUUGAUCUACACAUAGAUAUGGAAAUACUAUCAGGACUAAGUUCAUGAUAAAUUAAAGUUCAAUUAAUCAUAUUACUAAAGAACUCUCACUUAGAUAGACAUCCCUCUAGUCAUCUAAAUGAUCACGUGAUCCAUAUCAACUAAACCAUGUCCGAUAAUCACGUGAGAUGGAGUAGUUUUCAAUGGUGAACAUCACUAUGUUGAUCAUAUCUACUAUAUGAUUCACGUUCCACCUUUCGGCCUCAGUGUUCCGAGGCCAUAUCUGCAUAUGCUAGGCUCGUCAAGUUUAACCCGAGUAUUCUGCAUGUGCAAAACUGGCUUGCACCUGUUGUAUGUGAACGUAGAUCUUAUCACACCCGAUCAUCACGUGGUGUCUCGGCACGACGAACUGUCGCAACGGUACAUACUCAGGGAGAACACUUAUACCUUGAAAUUUAGUGAGGGAUCAUCUUAUAAUGCUACCGCCGUACUAAGCAAAAUAAGAUGCAUAAAAGAUAAACAUCACAUGCAAUCAAAAUAUGUGACAUGAUAUGGCCAUCAUCAUCGUGUGCCUUUGAUCUCCAUCUCGAAAGCACCGUCAUGAUCUCCAUCAUCACCGGCAUGACACCAUGAUCUCCAUCAUCUUGAUCUUUAUCAACAUGUCGUCACAUGGUUGUCUCGCCAACUAUUGCUUUUGCAACUAUUGCUAUCGCAUAGCGAUAAAGUAAAUCAAUUAUAUGGCGCUUGCAUCUUAUGCAAUAAAGAGACAACCAUAAGGCUCCUGCCAGUUACCGAUAACUUCAACAAAACAUGAUCAUCUCAUACAACAAUUUAUAUCUCAUCACGUCUUGACCAUAUCACAUCACAACAUGCCCUGCAGAAACAAGUUAGACGUCCUCUACCUUGUUGUUGCAAGUUUUACGUGGCUGCUAUGGGCUUCUAGCAAGAACCGUUCUUACCUUGUUGUCAAACUCGAUUCAACUAAAGUUGGAGAAACAGACACCCACCAGCCACCUGUGUGCAAAGCACGUCGGUAGAACUAGUCUCAUGAACGUGGUAGUGUAAUGUCGGUCCGGGCCGCUUCAUCCAACAAUACCGCCGAAUCAAAGUAAGACGUUGCUGGUAAGCAGUAUGACUAUUAUCACCCACAACUCUUUGUGUUCGACUCGUGCAUAUAACAUCUACGCAUAGACCUGGCUCGGAUGCCACUGUUGGGGAACGUAGUAUUUCAAAAAAAAUCCUACGAUCAUGCAAGAUCUAUCUAGGAGAAGCAUAUCAACGAGCGGGGGGGGGGGGUGUGUGUCCACGUACCCUCGUAGACCAAAAGCAGAAGCGUUUAUCAACGCGGUUGAUGUAGUCGUACGUCUUCAUGAUCCAACCGAUCCUAGCACCAAACGUACGGCACCUCCAUGUUCAGCACACGUUCAGCUCGAUGACGUCCCUCGUACUCUUGAUCCAGUUGUGGCCGAGGGAGAGUUCCGUCGGCACGACGGCGUGGCGAUGGUGAUGAUGAAGUUACUGGCGUAGGACUUCGCCUAAGCACUACAACGAUAUGAUCGAGGUGUGUUUCUAUGGAGGAGAGCACCCCGCACGGCUAAAAGAUCAACUUGUGUGUUCUAGGGUGCCCCCCUCCCCACAUAUAUAAAGGAGGGAGGGAGGAGGAGGCCGACCAAGGGUGGUGCGCCCAAGGGGGGGAGUCCUACUCCAAGUAGGAUUCGCCCCCACCCCCCUUUCCUAUUCCCUCAAGGAGAAGGGGGAAGGAGGAGGAGGAGAGAAGGAAAGGGGGGCCGACCCCCCCCCCCAAACCUAGUCCAAUUCAGUUUGGGCUAGGGGGCGCGCACCACUCCUUGGCCUGCCUCCUCUCUUCCACCACUAGGCCCAUGAGGCCCAAUAACUUCCCGGGGGGGGGGGGGUUCGGUAACCCCCGGUACUCCGAAACUUAUCCGAAACGACCCGAACCAUUCCGGUGUCCGAAUAUAACCUUCCAAUAUAUGAAUCUUUAUGUCUCGACCAUUUCGAGAUUCCUUGUCAUGUCUGUGAUCUCAUCCGGGACUCCAAACAAACUUCGGUACAUCAAAUCACACAACUCAUAAUACAAAUCAUCAUCGAACGUUAAGCGUGCGGACCCUACGAGUUCGAGAACUAUGUAGACAUGACUGAGACACAUCUCCGGUCAAUAACCAAUAGCGUAACCUGGAUGCUCAUAUUGGCUCCUACAUAUUCUACGAAGAUCUUUAUCGGUCAAACCGCAUAACAACAUACGUUGUUCCCUUUGUCAUCGGUAUGUUACUUGCCCGAGAUUCGAUCGUCGGUAUCACCAUACCUAGUUCAAUCUCAUUACUGGCAAGUCUCUUUACUCGUUCCGUAAUGCAUCAUCCCGCAACUAACUCAUUAUUCACAUUGCUUGCAAGGCUUAUAGUGAUGUGUAUUACCGAGAGGGCCCAGAGAUACCUCUCCGACAAUCGGAGUGACAAAUCCUAAUCUCGAUCUAUGCCAACUCAACAAAUACCAUUGGAUACACCUGUAGAGCUUCUUUAUAAUCAUCUAGUUACAUUGUGACGUUUGAUAGCACACUAAGUGUUCCUCCGGUAUUCGGGAGUUGCAUAAUCUCAUAGUCAUAUGAACAUGUAUAAGUCAUGAAGAAAGCAAUAGCAAUAAACUAAACGAUCAUGGUGCUAAGCUAACGGAUGGGUCUUGUCCAUCACAUCAUUCUCUAAUGAUGUGAUCCCGUUCAUCAAAUGACAACACAUGUCUAUGUAUAGGAAACUUAACCAUCUUUGAUUAACGAGCUAGUCUAGUAGAGGCAUACUAGGGACACUCUGUUUGUCUAUGUAUUCACACAUGUACUAAGUUUCUGGUUAAUACAAUUCUAGCAUGAAUAAUAAACAUUUAUCAUGAUAUAAGGAAAUAUAAAUAACAACUUUAUUAUUGCCUCUAGGGCAUAUUUCCUUCACGGAGAACCCACCUUCGUUUGUCUUAGUCUUUAGUUUUGAAAGAGCAUGGUGCCCCCAUGUGUAGUUUUGGUAAUUGAUGACUUUCUCUAUGGACUAAUGGUUGCAUUGAGUUAUAUUUCAAGGAUUUGUCCAUAGGCAUUUCUUGAGUCCAUGUGUUGGUUUCAAGGAGUUUAUGAGAUGACCAAGGUGUUAUUGAAGGAUUUAUCCAAAGAUUGGUCAUGUGUAAGACAUGAUACAAGAUUGAUCAAGACUAAGUCAAAGUGUGAAUCAAGUGAUCAACACACAAAGCAUACAAGAUGUACCGAGAGGGAUCAAAUGAUCCCAUGGUAUGGCAAGCAUUGUACAUUAUGCUUUGUGUACUAUCCCAUGGUCUACGUGAGAGUUCUUUGUGGGGUUGGGUAUGUUUUCAUGGGCUUGCGUCAAGAGGAAGAUCUCAUACAACCCAUGGAGGACAUCAAGUGGUGAUCAUCAAGAUUGCGGUGUGCAAGUUCAACUGGAACAUCACGAAGAGAUCAUGCUUGAAGCUUGUUGUCCAUUGUGAUGACAAUGGACUUGUGCAGAUGUGUCGAAGAGUGGCUCACCCAUAGUGGAGUAUGGGGGAGCAAUCUACUAGUCUUCAUCGAGCCAACGCAAUCAAGAAAGGUGGUCCAACUUGAGGGAGUCAGGAUCGUCAUCAUCUAGCUCAAGUGGACUAAGUGCAAGGCAAAGGUUUGCCCUUGAUAGUUCUAUUUUACCGGUCUCAUGGUGGUAGUUGGGAGACCGGGUUAUAGGAUCAAUUGUUGUAGAGGGGGGCUCUCAAGUUAGUAGCUUGAUCGUAUCGUUCAUAGAGAGCUCAGACCAUUGCAUCAUUUUUUGGGUUCUUGUUUGGUGUUUCUCUUUGCGAGUCUUAGAGCUUAUGGUCAUCUUCAUGACAAGCUCGAGUUCAUCGAAAACGGAGUUCGUAUAUGCAUCUUCUAUGAUGUUUUCGAAGUGGGAGCUUUUAUCGGUUCUUCAUUCAUAGAGGUUUCACGUCUCUAUAUCAUUGUCAUUUUUUCUAAUGCCUCUUCUCAUUGUUUGGAUAGUACCUGUCAUCAUCUAUCCAACAAGCUUGAGUUUGCUCAUUUUGGAGCUCAUACGCGGAAGUUAUGGUACCUCUGGUUUUCUUGAUGCAUCUAUUUUGCUUGGGGCUUGCUUGAUGCACCCCUGCGGUAGUACUGCUCUGGGCAGCGGUAGUACCGCUUGUAAGCGGUAGUACUGCCCUAGUUGGGUGGUAGUACCGGUUGUAAGCGGCACUUCUGCUGUUCAGAACUGCGCGCACUUCCGCUUAUUCUGGAGGUUCUGUUUUUCAUGUCGGGUUCAGUGAUAGUAGGGGCGGCAGUGAAGUGCGGCAAUACCGCCUGUAACCCGUAGUACCGUCCCAGUCGGACAGUAGUACCGCUGCCCGGGUACUAAAGUCGUGCUCUUCUCUUCCCUACCUCCUCUAGUCCUGUAUUCUGCUUCUCUCAUGGUAGUGCUGCUGGGAUGAGGGGUAGUGUCGAUCCGACGGCUCCACCUCCCCAAGGUUCCUUGCCUUUGCUCUAUUUUCCUGGAUCUACCGCCUGAACGGUAGUACCGCUCCAUGGAGCGGUAGUACCACUUAUGUGCGGGCUGAGCACAUAACGGUUGGAUUCGGGAGGUUCUAUAAAAGGGAGUCUUCUUCCCCAUUGAACCUUAUCUUUUGAGCUCGUGUUUUCCCCCAUUGUUGACCUUCUUCAAGCUUGUUAUCUCUCAAUCCCUCCAAUGAUUCUUGCUAGUUCUUAAGGGAAAAGAAGAGAUCUAGAUCCACAUUUUCACCAAUCACUUUCUCCUCUAUGCGAGGGGAGCCCCUUGGAUCUAGAUCUUGGAGUUACUGGUGUUCUCCUUCUUGCUCUUCCUCUCAUAUUCAUCCAUAGCUUUUGUUGCUUUGGUGGGACUUGAGAGUGAGGGACUUGGGUACUCCGUGUGCCCUUACCAUUGCAUUAGUUGCAUCAGUUUGAGUUCUCCACGGUGAUACGUGGAAGUGAAUUGAGAAGCUUAUUACUCUUGGGUGCUUGGUACCCUAGAGCUUGUUCCUCUUGGGUGCUUGCGCACCCUAGACUCGGAGCUCAAUCGUUGUGGUGUAAAGCUCCGGGCUUGCGUCAAGUUAUGGAGAUUGCUCUGAGCAAUUUGUACGGGUUCCGGUGACCACCCCCAAGGGUUGCCAAAGUGUACGGGUUUGGUGACCACCCCCAAGGGUUGCCAUUCGUACGGGUUCGGUGCCCGCCCUCAAGGGUCCCUUAGUGGAAUCACGGCAUCUUGCAUUGUGCGAGGGAGUGAGGAGAUUACGGUGGCCCUAGUGGCUUCUUGGGGAGCAUUGUGCCUCCACACCGCUCCAAACGGAGAUUAGCAUUCGCAUGGGUGUGAACUUUGGGAUACAUCAUCGUCUCCGCGUGCCUCGGUUAUCUCUUACCAGAGACCUUUUCUUAUGCACUUUAUUUUGUGAUAGCCAUAGUAUGACAUGAUAUAUAUCUUGCUAUCACUUAGUUGUUUAUCUUGCUUAGCAUAAGUUGUUGGUGCAUAUAGGUGAGCAUAGUCAAUUUAGGUUUUGUGCUUGACAAAUUAAAUGCUAGUUUUAUUUUGCAUUUGUUCAAGCCUAAACCGUAAUUAUUUUAAAGCGCCUAUUCACCCCCCCCCCUAGGAGACAUCCACGAUAUUUCAAAAAAAUUGGCGAUAAUCACACACUGUAUUAAAAUAAAGGGUUACAACGCUUACAAAGUGAAAAUCAAACGAAACAAUCAGAAAUAACGGUCUGGUGAACCUUUGCAAAAAGGACCUCGAAAAAACCAACUUAAACUCCCUUACAUCAUGCCCAAGCCUUGUCCAGUGUUGGUUAACAUCAACAACGAAGGUCCUUUGGGAAUGGGGAUCAACCAAUAUGCCCAGAUUUGGGGAAACACCUUCGCGGUCUAUGUUGCUUGAUGAGUCGAUUAACCGAUCUGCCACAGACGACAGGACCCAGACUUCGUGGAGCGUCGGCCGGGGAUCUUCCUAGUGUUCACCAGAUUCCUCCAUCACCAUUCGACAAGGUUGAAAAAGAAGGGUGUGGUCACUAGCCGCCACCCUUGGGCUCAGCUUGAAGCCGCCAAAGGUUUUUUAGUUGUGGACAAUGUAUCCCUUUAAAAAUGUAAAUGAAGCUAGCCACUAAGGCAUUCAUCAAAAAGUAAAUUAGUGACACUUAUACUUAUUUAAUUGUAAGUUAACGAUUAUGCAUUUUACGAGGAAAAACUUUGGUGCUCCAAAUAUAGAAGGGCUAAUAAGUUAUUUUAAGGUUGCCUUUGACCACAAAUGAAAUCACUAACACAUGAGAUGCAUGAUAUAAAAGUUACAUCAUUAUAAACUCCUUUUAAAUACAAAUUUAGCAGUAUCCUUUCUAUAACAUGCAUGUCAAUAUUGCACUAACCUGUGAUCAAAGGUAAGGGAUCACAAUAUAUUUAAAAAUGGAUGCAAGUGUCUUCUGUUUAAUAUGAUUUCUCAAAUUUUGUGCUUCGAACCAAGUGUGAAUGGAAUUUAGCUCUUUGACAAGAAUGUAGACGAAACAAAAGGAAAAGAAACGAUUUACAACGUUUCAUAUCGGAAUUUAUGUACUGACUUACCCAGGCAGUUCAUACAAGUGCAUAACUUUCUCUCAUGCUCUCUGUACAAUAUGCACAUCACUGUCCUCUCUCUCUCCCCCCUUCUCCAUCCUCCCAUUUCAGCCAGAAGAUGACGAGAAAAGAGAGAGGGCGCGCGUCAAAAAGACUUCGCUGCCCCUCUAGGUGGCUCCAAAUCACGCCCAAAUUCAUGGCUCGUCGAGCCGCAAAUUUGGUGGUGACUUGUAUUGGUGAAAUUUCCUAGACCUGUUCCUUUUGUGACUCUAUUAUUGCGGUUGAUUUAUUGAUGGAUUGAAUCGUCAGCGGAUUUCUCCCGCUGCGUCUCCGAAUUUCUCGAGGCGGAACCUGCGCGGGAGCACUUUUGCUUUCCGGCGGAGCGAUUCCACGGGGGAUAGUUCUCUCCGGGAGGGGGAAAUCGAAGCCAUCGACAUCACCAACGAUCCUCUCAUCGUGGGAGAACCAAUCUUCAUCAACAUCUUCACUAGUACCAUCUCAUCUCAAACCCUAGUUCAUCUCUUGUAUUCAAUAUUUGUCCCAAAACCUGAGAUUGGUACAUGUGGGUUGCUAGUAGUGUUGAUUACAUCUUUUACUUGAUGCUAGUUGGUUUAUCUGGUGGAAGAUUUAAUGUUCAGAUCCUCAAGCAUACUCAAUACACCUCUGAUCUUGAACGUGAAUAUGAUUUGUGAGUAGUUACUUUUGUUCUUGAGGACAUGGGAGAAGUCUUGUUAUAAGUAGUCAUGUGAAGUUGAUAUUCGUUCGAUAUUUUGAUGAUAUGUAUGUUGUUGAUUUCUUUAGUCGUCUCAUGUGAACGUUGACUACAUGACACUUCACCAUACUUGGGCCUAAGGGAAGGCAUUGUAGAGUAAUAAGUAGAUGAUGGGUUGCUAGAGUGACAUAAGCUUAAACCCUAGUUUGUGCGUUAUUCCAUAAGUGUCUGAUUUGAACCCAUAUGUUUCAUACUAUUGUUAGAUUUAUCUUAAUUCUUCUUCCGUAGUUGUCGAUGCUUGCUAGAGGGAGUAAUCAUAAGUGGGUUGCUUGUUAAAGUAAGAACAACACCCAAGCACCGGUCCACCCAUACAUCAAAGUAGCGAACGUGAAUCAACUAAAUACGAUGGACGUGACUAGACGACAAUUCUCAUGUGUCCUCGAGAGCACUUAAUUUACUUUAUAUAAGAGAACUUUCCGGUGUGUCCUUUACUAUAAAAAGAUUGGGUCACCUUGCUGCACCUUUGUUACCAUUGCUACUUAUUACUUGUUAUGAAUUACCUUGCUAUCAAACCAUCUGUUACCCUACUUUCAGUAUUUGCAGAGAAUACCUUGCUGAAAAUUGCUUAUCAUUUUCUUCUACUCCUCGUUGGGUUCGACACUAUUACUUAUCGAAAGGACUAUGAUUGAUCCCCUGAUGCAGAGCAUCCCUACGUCAUCCCCAUGGACUCUACUACAACUCGUCAAGCACCUCGUGGACCAAUGGCAAGAGCACGUGCACGCACCAUCGAAACCGAUGUUAACUCUUUCCUCUUCGAACUUCAUUCGGAUUCACAUGAGAGUUGGGUUCUACCUCAAAUGGAUACAUUGUGCACUCUUAUGUACUAAGGAGAAGACCGCGAGGAAGUAUGGAGGGAUCACCGAGUGCACAUGGAGCCCCAAGGAGAAGAAGGAGCCCCAAGACUCGAAGCACCGGAGGCUCUCUGGACACCCCGGGUGCCCGGCCCUCCCCCGCCUGGGCACUUGAGAUGCCCCCCCCCCCGGGUGCCCGGGCCGCCACCCCCGGGUGCCCGGCCCCGCCAGCCGCUAAGGGCGCUGGCCCUCUGACCCGUCCGGGUGCCCGGGCCGCCAACCCCUGGGUGCCCGGCCCCCUUCUUGGCACCCGCAUCUGACCGGUCCGAGUGCCCGGACCCCUUUACCCCGGGUGCCAGGACCCCUCCGCAUGCCUGCGUGCACUUUUGGGUUUUGGACCCUUGUACCCCUCUCUCCCUCAUAUUUCGUCCCUAGACUAUAUAAACUCUCCCCUCUAGCUCAUUUGGAAGGAUAGCAAAGAAAUUAGAACACAAAAGAGAGCUUUGCUCAUCUUCCUCCUCUAGGAGAUCUAGACCUCCUCUUGGAGAGCUCCUUUUAGAGAUCAAGCCCUCCUCUUGGAGAAGAUCCUCUUGGAUGCAAGACCUCACCUAGUGGGAAGAACCUUUACCCUAGUGUUAUUUUCCUUGAAUUGUUCAUGUAAUCUUGUGGAUCUCAUGUAUGCUACUCUAGUGGAUGUGAUAUUGGGUUUGUUUGAGUGAUUUGUGCCUUGUGUUCUUGAGUGUUCUUCCUCCUUUUCCCCCUCCAAGUGUGAAAAGAUCCCCUCUAGGGUUUCACCCUACAACAUCCCCUAUACCUAUGAGUCAUCAGAUGGCGGCCUCCGAAAUCAGUGUCCGUGGAUCGGGCCUCGGGCCUCUGGAAUCAGUGUUUGUGGACCGGUCCCCUGUCCGCGGACAGAUGCUGGAGCAAAUUUGCGGGUCAGCGUUGGAAAUGCCCUUAAUAUGCUUUCUCAAAUUUUGUGCUUCGAACCAAGCAUGAACGGUAUUACAACAUGUAGAUGCAAAAAUAACCAGCUUAUACAUCUUCGAGGACCAAAAACUCAUCUCCAACACAUGAUUGUAGAUGCAAAAAAAUUACAUCUCCACCUCCAGGAGAUGUAAAAUACAACACCUGGAGAUGCAAAUUUUCAUCUCCACCUCCAGGAGAUGUAAACCUAUCCGCGCGCCAACCGCCUAUCAUUUCGUUUCCCACCCGUGCGUCGCCGCCACCCAGCCCGGCCCACUGCGUGACGCCGCCAAAUCUCGGCGCUCCACCAUCCCCUUCCUCCACCAAAUUGGCUAAUACCUCCGCCACCCGUCCUCUUUCGGCCACCGCCGUUGCCAACCGAUUCCAGCCAGCUCCGGCGCCACCCCGCCAGCUCCGGCCCCUCCCCUACCCAUUCCAGUCCGCCGCCGGCCAUCCCCGUCGCCCGAAUUUGGCCAUCCCCCGUGCUGGAGGAGAGGAGCGGCCGCGAACAGAGGAGGCUGUCGGACGCGCGUGGCAGCCAUGCACGCUUCUCGAAGGCGCUCAUGGUCACACUGGUCCGCCUCGAUGCCGUCCUGGGCCACGACCUGGCUGGCAGUGUCCACGAAGGAGGGGGCAACGAGGAGUGGCUGGGACAGAGAAGGAGCGGCAACAACAGCUAACAGUGUGCAGCAGAGGAGUGUGCAACAGUGUACAGCAGCUAACAGUGUGCAGCAGAGGAGUGGCAGCUCUAUUUGCUCGGUAGCCGGCGGCGCGCGAGAAUUUAGUCGGCGGCGUGCAAGAGCAUCGCCAUUUGAUCGGUGGUUCAGGUUUCGAUAGUAGGUUCAGUUUACAUCACCAAUUAUACAUCCUCGAUUAGUGUUGGACUUUUAUAUCACCAAUAUACAUCAUCUGUUGGAGUUGCCUUCUUUUAGGACGCCGAUGUCCACCACACGUGUGGCAUACUAGACAUCCGCCCACACACCGUGUGUGGCGUGAGCAGGAGGCAGCCCACACGGGUUGUGUGUGGGCGAACAUUAGAAUUGUCACACAUGUGGGCGCAGCUACUUCAUGCCACACGUUCAACAAGUACUACUCAUCUUCACCCAGCGCGUGUGGCAAGAAGCAAAAAUGCCCACACGUCCUGGCGCAGCUACGUUAGGUACCCGCGGGAUGACAAUUUAGUUGCCAUCCGGGAUGGCAGAUGUAGUUAUCCGGGAUGGCAAAUCUAGUUGUACAAGCAUGGCAACUCUAUCUGUUUUGGUUAACUAUAGUUGCCAUGUCUAAUUUAUGAUAGUUGCCGUGUGUAAUCAAAUCGUAGAUGUCGUGUGUGAUUAACUACUUGCCACAUAUGGUCAAACAAUAGUUGCCAUGUGUGUUUACCUAGUUGCCACGUGUGGUCCAACCAUAGUUGCCAUAUAUGGUUAAUCAUAGUUGUCAUGUGUGUUUAUCUGGUUGCCACGUACGCGCAACUGCAGUUGCCGUCUAGCAACAAAUCAUAGUUGCCAUGUGUGUUUACCUAGUUGCCACGUACGUGUAACUGCAGUUGCCAUCCAACAACAUACGAGUGUCGUGUGGGCGAAAAGCAGUUCGCCCACACACGCGUGGACUAGAUGGUGCCUGUGUGGACAGAAACUAGUUCGCCCACACAACGCGGCUGGCAAACCGCGUGUCGUGGGGCGUGUGGGCGAACUCUCCAACGCCCACCCACCAGCCCCGUCCUACGUGGCACGCAAAUUCUGUCUCAAUGUGUCAAGAUUCGUGCAAACUCGACUGGACGGUGAUCCACGCGUGUGGGCGAGUUGUAAAACUGCCACACAUGUGGGCGUUAUGAUUUGGGUUUUUUUAAUAUGUAAAAUACAUGUUUUGGUAGUGUAAAUUUUACAUCUUUUAGUUUUACAUCUUAAAAUUUGCAUCAUCGAAGAUGCUUUAUGUCGGUGUACAAAAGAAGGGGCGCACCUUUGUACCUCUCUACCUGUGCACAGGCAGUCGAAGCCGCGCCCACGGUCACACCAAGCAGAACAAGGGAGGUGAACCGAGGUAAAACCGAAGCCCAAGACGACCAGAGCAACGCCAAGACCAAGGACGCAAAGAAGCAGAGGGGCGGAGCAGUUUCCCCCGGCAAGACCCUUGCCGGGGACGGCCUCAGCAGCCCCGGCAAGACCCUUGCCGGGGCAGCAUGCCCAAACACCAACAGAGUGAGCCACCCUUGAGCCCACGUCCCCAACACCAUCAACCACGUUGGGCCAGGGCUCGGGAGGCACCUCUGUGGUGGCAUGCAAAUCUUUGUGAAGACAAGGAAUAUUCAAGAUUAGAUGCGGAUUAGAAGACUGCGAUCCUCGGCAAGAUCCUUGCCGAGGGGAACCACAAGACCCCCGGCAAGAUCCUUGCCGGGGACGACAGCGCGCCACGGCAAGGCCCUUGCUGGGCCACCCGGCAAGGCCUUCGCCAAGGGCGCCAGCAGGGCCACUGCCAGGCCCGCACCAACCAAGUUUCCACCGCCGUUCGCAUGCAGCUGCCAGCCCAACCAGCUGAGCAGGCACCUGCGUGGCAACAUGCAGCUCCCAGGCCAACUCAUCAGGCGCCUGCAUGGCGGCAUGCAGAUCUUCAUAGAGGCUCCACCACCGCGCCACCUCAGCUGCCUGCCUACCUACAUGGCGCCGCAUGCAUCACUGGCCGGGGCGCAUGUCGAAGCAAGGAGAAACGGCGACGGACGGGACGGGCCUCGCCCCCGUCCCCGAUAAAGCUAGGGGACACCUCAGCGGCGCAUUAAAUGCGUCUUGUCCUGUAAUACGAGCGAUAAGCUCGCAAUACUGUACGCCUUUCCACCUCCUGUAUGCCACUGUGGCAGCCCCUUUCGACUAUAAAAGGAGGCCCAUGGCAUACCGGAGAAGGAUUCGGCUCUUUGGGACCACGCACCCCACCAUAGCUAGUUCGAGAGCUUAAGAACUCUAUGAAAUACACCCACCAAAGCAGGACUAGGGUUUUACGCAUCCUCGCGGCCCGGACCUGGGUAAACGAUCCGUGUGCUGAUUACUAAUCCUGCUGUUCUCGCAACCCUGUGCCCCGGCAACCGUAGUAGGGAUUCUUGUGAUCCCAUAGGUGUCGUUCCACACCGACAUCUUUGGCGCGCCAGGUAGGGGGCGCAAUUGUGAGAAUCUGGUGUGGUAGUUAGCCUAGCAUUUCUUCGUCGCCAUGGCUCCCAAGAAAAAGACGGCCACGGUGAUCGGCUCGUUGGGAGCCGAACGGCCCGUGCCGGUGCGGGCGGGCAGUGGGCCGGUCGCGGACAGGACCCGGGCCACGGUCCGUGAGCACCAGCAUCGCCCUGGCAGUCAGAGCCUGGCGAGCGGCAUCGUUCGCGCGCCAGACGACCGGCCGCACGUCGCCAGAUCCAAAGACGGAGCUGGACCCCCCGCAGGCGGCGCGGGGCCCUCCAGGAGUGUCGUUGUGCCACCCCCGGGCGGCGCAGCGACCUCCAAGACGCCCACGUCGGCGACCACUGUGCGCUCUUCCCAUGGUGUGAGCGACGAGCAGCGUCACCACGCCGGUGACCCUGGGCACCGCCGUGGGAAGAGCCCUGUGCGUCGUCCGCGGGAUGAAGGAGUUCAGCAUGCCCGCCGAAGUGCUGGCGAAAAUGGCACGCAGCCGCUGGGUCGUAACGGAGCUCCUUCUAACGUGGUUAGAAGUCGAAGCGCGUCGCGAUCCACGCAGCUGUCGCCGCCGCCCACGCCAGCAGAAGCUUUGGCGCGCGCGCAGCUGCUCCUCGACUUCCCUCCUGCUGCAGAGAAGCUCGACGAGUGGAGGGCCACCAUCCGGAGCCUCGUCGCCGUCGCCAACGAAGACGAUCCGCGACCGGCGGGUCCCUCGGGUCGGUGCUCCACCGAGCCACCACAUGCUGGCGCUGGGAGGACCGGGGGAGCUGCGGCCAUGGUGCACUCUCCUCCUCCUCGACAGCUGCCGCGGGCGUCGGCCCAUCGUGACGACGCUUGUGAAAACAUCUCCAUAGUGUCGUCCGACCCGCGGACCCUCCGCGACCAGCGCCAAGUUCUUCGGGAACGAGCUCACGAAGACGCUCGGACCACCAUCGCACGCCGGCGCGACACACGCCACCAGUCGGACAAGCGGGCGGGACCCGCUAUGGACCACCCAGCACCAGGGGGGCUCCGGCGGCCUACCUUACGAGGUGGGCUGCCCGGCCUUUACCCGCGAGCUGCGGCAGUUCCAGUGGCCGUCCCACCGCACGUUCAAGCCCGACGUCGGCGAGAAGUACACUGGCAAGACCCAUCCGUCCGAGUUCCUCAGCAUCUACACCAUUGCGAUGUAGGCUGCCGGAGCUCGCGACGACAAGGUGCUUGCCAAUUAUUUCCCGCUGGCAGUGAAGCCCAAUGUUAUGUCUUGGUUGAUGCACUUGCCGGCGGAUUCCAUUUCUUCUUGGUCGGAUCCGUGCCAUGAGUUCAUUGGCGCCUUCACAGGAGGCCACCAAGCUCAUGGCAGGCCAGUGAUCUGCAUAUCAUCCCCCAGAAGGAAGGGGAAACCCUGCGCAAGUACAUCCAGAGAUUCAGCCGGGUGCAGUACAACAUCCCCGACGUUCAUCCCGCCGCCGUGAUCAGCGCGUUCCAUCAGAACGUGCGCAACCGCAAGAUGCGCGAAGAGCUGGCGAUGACCAAGGUUAAGGAUGUGGCCGAGCUCUACGUUCUGGCCGAUAGAUGCGCCCGGGCUGAAGAGGGAAGGAAGUACCCCGGCGAAGACGCCGGUGCGGAAACCGACUCUACCGACGAAGACGCCGCCACCCCGACAAAGAAGGGACGGCGUCGCAACAGGAAACGCAAAGGCAAGGCCGUGCUUGCCGUUGAAGGAUCUGACGACACCGAUGCUGCCAAGAAGGUCAAGGCAGACGCCCCCGGCAAGGAGAUUGCCGGGUGCGCCGCCUGCUGGGCCUUGGCGGCUACCGACAAGCCAGGAAGCUCCGGCAAGCAAUACUACAAGAUCCACCGCACCAAGGGCCUCGACCUCCAGAACUGCCGACAAGUUGAGCUGCUUGCUGAGAAGCAAAAAGCUGAGUACGAGAGGCGGGACAAGGAGAAGGACCAGGAUGGUGCCGAGGGAUCCGGCAAGAAGCAUGGCGGCCAAGGAGGCCGUCGCGGCAAGGACAACCAGCAAGAGAGACCCGCCCGAGGCCGUGACAAGAAACAAGAAGACGAUGAUCACGACGAGGACGACGAGUCCGGUGAGCAAGAGUUCUAGAAGGCUACGGAGGCCAUGUGCGUCGAUGGUGGCGCCUCGCUGCAUACUUCUCACCGCCAGCUCAAGCAGUGGGCGCGUGAGAUUACAGCAGCGGAGCCGUCGUUCGACGCUUAGAAGCCGCUGAAGUGGUCCAGCACGCCCCUCAUCUUUGACGCCGAGGACCACCCUGACCGCACAACCGCGGUCGGGUGUUUGCCAUUGUUGGUCUCACCAACGAUACGCAACCUCAAGGUGAACAAGAUGUUGGUUGACGGCGGGGCCGGCCUGAACUUGAUCUCGCCUGUCGUGAUCAAAAGGCUGCAAAUUCCUGAUGGAGACCUCGAGGAAACGGGCACGUUUCAAGGAGUCGAUCCGGGGAGGAGCCAGCCGAAGGGGAAGGUCACACUGCCCGUGAUGUUUGGAGGAGAGUUGAACUAUAGGACGGAGAGGAUCAUCUUCAACGUGGCCGAGAUCCCCUUGCCCUACAACGGGAUCCUCGGCCGCCCGGCACUAGCCAAGUUCAUGGCGGCAUCACACUACGCCUACAACAUGCUAAAGAUGCUCGAGCCGUUGACCAUCAUCUCCCUCCCCUCCGACAAGAAGGAUGCGCUGAUUUACGCCGACCAACUCUACCGGGAAGCAGUUGCAGCGGCUAUCGUCAAGGCACCUGCUCCUGCCGCUGAAGGCCCGGGAGGGAAGAAGAAGCCCGGCAAGACCUCUCGCACCCACUCCGGCAAGCACACCUCUUUGGAGUGUUGCGCUACCGUCAAGGACGCGCCAGAGAGCUCUACCGGCAAGAGCAAGAAAUCCAGAGCCGAGCCACCGCAGACCAAGAAGGUGUCCGCCAGGGAGGAUGGAACGGGAGGGGCCUUCACCAUAGGCUCCACCCUCGACAGCAAAUAGGAAGGCGCGCUCGUCACCUUCCUGCAGGCAAAUGUCGACGUGUUUGCAUGGCAAGCAUCCGACAUCCCCGGUGUUCCCAGGGAGGUGAUUGAGCACCACCUAGCUGUCUGCCCUCAUGCGUAGCCCGUCAAGCAGAAGGUCAGAAAGCAGGCUCUGGAGAGGCAGGAGUUCAUCACAGAGGAGAUCGGGAAGUUGGAAGCGGCAGGUUUGGUGAGAGGAGUGCUCCACCCGACGUGGUUGGCCAAUCCGGUAGUGGUGCGCAAGGCGAAUGGGAAGUGGAGGUUGUGUAUUGAUUAUACAGAUAUCAAUAAGGCUUGUCCUAAGGACCCCUUUCCGUUGCCGCGCAUCGACCAGAUUGUUGACUCCACGGCCGGGUGUGAUCUGUUAUCAUUCCUCGACGCCUACUCCGGCUACCACCAAAUCUUCAUGACAAGAGAGGAUGAAGAGAAGACAACAUUCAUCACCCCAUGUGGUACGUAUUGCUUUUUACGGAUGCCUUUCGGGUUGAAGAGUGCUAGCUCGACGUUUGCAAGAGCAGUCCAAAUUGGUUUUGAACCUCAGCUCCAUAGAAAUAUGGAGGCAGACAUGGAUGACAUAGUGGUCAAAACCAAGGACGGGCCAACUCUUGUGCAAGAUCUGGAAGAGACAUUUGCCAACUUGCGCAGGAUCAACUUUAAGCUGAACCCUAAGAAGUGUGUCUUCGGCAUUCCGUCCGGCAAGCUUCUUGGAUUCUUUGUGUCGCAGCGCGGGAUCGAGGCAAACCCAGACAAAAUCAAAGCUAUUGAGCAGAUUGAGGCGCCCAAGCGGAUCAAAGAUGUGUGUCGGCUCACUGGCUGCGUCGUCGCCAUGAGCCGAUUCAUCUCCAAGUCCGCCGAGCGUGCCCUUCCCUUCUUCAAAAUCUUGAAGAAGGCAGGCCCAAUGGAGUGGACCCCAGAAGCCGAGGCGGCGUUGCAGGAUCUGAAGAAAUACCUUUCCUCCAUGCCAAUACUGGUUGCGCCUAAACCACAAGAGUCGUUGUUGUUGUAUCUAGCGGCAACGAAUCAAGUGGUCGGCGUCGCACUGGUGGCGCAGAGGGAGGUCAACGAAGAGGCAGUGGCGGUGGCAGAAUCAGCGGAUGGCAAGCCAAAGAAACCCCCGGCAGGGCCUGGUGCCGGCAAGGCAGGGCCCCCGGCAGGAUCUGACGCCACCAAGGCAGUACUUGCGCAGUCAGGUGAAGUGGUGCAGAAGAAGAAGAUGGUGCAUUACCCGGUUUACUUUGUCAGCUCCCUCUUGCAGGGGGCUAGGUCGAGGUACUCCGGUGUGCAAAAAUUGCUCUUCGGCCUCCUUAUGGCCUCGAGGAAGCUGCGUCAUUACUUCCAAGCCCACGAGAUCACUGUCGUCACCCGCCUCCCAUUGCAACGGAUACUGCAUAACCCAGAUGCAACCGGAAGGAUUGUGGAUGGGCCUUGGAGUUGUCAAGUUUUGGUUUGAAGUUUGAAAGUACCUCGACAAUCCAGAGCAGAGUCUUGGCGGAGUUCAUUGCAGAAUGGACCUCAACGCCCGACGAAGAAAUCCAGGAGACCGCUCUCCCCGGCAAGGAAGCAGACCGCGACUGGAUCAUGUACUUUGAUGGGGCUUCCUCGCUGCAAGGCGCCGGUGCCGGCGUGCUGCUCGUCGCGCCCACCGGAGAGCACCUCAAGUACAUGGUCCAGAUGCACUUUCCCAGGGAGAUGUCCACCAACAACACUGCAGAGUACGAAGGGCUGCUUGCCGGUCUCAGGAUCGCGACAAACCUCGGGGUUAAGAAGCUCAUCGUCAAGGGUGACUCACAGCUUGUUGUCAGACAGGUCAACAAGUAUUACCAGAGCCCAUUGAUGGAGGCUUACGUAGAUGAGGUGAGGAAGCUGGAGGAGCGCUUUGACGGUAUCCAAGCGGAGCACGUCUCCCGAAUGGAGAACAACACCGCCGAUUACCUGUCGAAGCGUGCUGCAUUCAAGCUACCUGUGGAACCAGGUACCUUUUUGCUCCGGUUAACUCAACCAUCCGUCGAACCAUCAACGGGGCAGAACAAGCGGAGGAAGUCAGGUCCCGGCAUGUACUUUCCUACCGAGCCCCCUGGGGCUGCCGACAAGGGUGUUGCCGCGGACGCUGAGCCUGCCAAAGGGCAACUGGCUCCGGCAGGGCGUCAAGCCCUAGCCAUGGAGACUGCCGCGCCCAUGGCUGAGGAAAUGCUUUUGGUCCCUGCCGUCGAGCCCCAGGCUCCGGCAUGGACACAGCAUAUUGUCCGAUUCCUCCAAACAGGGGAACUUCCUGAGGAGCAGGAAGAAGCGGAAAAAGUAGCCCGCCGGUCCGCCCUAUACCAGUUCAUCGAUGACGUCCUGUACAGGAGAAGGCCGAACAGCGUGAAAUUGAAGUGCAUCCCCCGGGAGGAAGGACUGGAACUGUUGGCAGAGAUACAUGGAGGCAUAUGUGGCUCCCACAUAGGGUCGAGGGCCCUUGCCGGAAAGGCGUUCCGGCAAGGUUUCUUCUGGCCCACCGCCCUCCAGGAUGCGACGACACUAGUAACCAAGUGUGAAGCGUGUCAGUUCCAUUCAAAGAAGCUUCAUCAACCAGCUCAAGCCCUUCAAACAAUCCCUCUCUCCUGGCCAUUCUCGGUCUGGGGGCUCGAUAUACAGUACUUGUAUGUUGCAAUCGACAAGUUCACAAAGUGGCCGGAAGUGGAAGCAGUGAGAAAGGUGACUGCUCAGUCAGCUGUCAAGUUCUUCAAGGGGCUGGUUUGCCAUUUUGGUGUGCCAAACAGAGUCAUCACCGACAAACGGCACACAGUUCACAAGCCAUACCUUCAUGCAAUACAUCCAAGACCUCGGCAGCAAGGUCUGUUUUGCUUAUGUGGCACACCCCUGGAGCAACGGCCAAGCAGAGAGGGCGAAUGCUGAAGUGUUGCGAGGCCUGAGAACGAAGACCUUUGACAGGCUGCAUAAGAGCGGAAGGCGCUGGAUUGAUGAAUUGCCAGCGGUUCUUUGGUCGAUCAGAACGACGCCAAAUCAAGCCACCGGCCAGACACCCUUUGCCCUAGUAUAUGGGGCGGAGGCAGUUCUCCCCACGGAACUCAUAUACGGGUCACCUCGAGUGCUCGCUUAUGAUGAGCUUGAGCAAGAGCAGUUGCGCCAAGAUGACGCAACGCUCCUUGAGGAAGAUCGUCUUCGGGCGGCUGUGAGAGCAGCACGCUACCAGCAAGCCUUGCGCCCCUACCAUAGCCGCAAGGUUCAUGCCCGAAGCUUUGAGGAAGGCGACUUUGUUCUUCGGCGCGUUCAGUUGGCCAAGAAUACCAACAAGUUGACGCCGAAGUGGGAAGGCCCUUAUCGGGUAAUACGAGUCACCAGGCCCGGCGCAGUCCGCCUGGAGACUGAAGAUGUUGUCCCAGUGAGUAAUUCCUGGAACAUCGAGCACCUUCGCAAGUUUUACCCAUAAGGCGCGGCUUGCCGGGCCCCCCGGCAAGCCACCUUUUUGUACAAGCUUUGCCGGCAAGGCAUGUAACCCUUUGUACAAAGCCAGGCGCAGACCCUGAGCAUAAAUAAAUGAAGCGCUGGCGCCCUAAGUUAUAGCAUGCAUGCUAGGUCGAGUCUCUUCCUUGGUUAGGGUUGAUAGUGCUUAGCAGCGACUAACCCCUAGCCUAGAGGGCGAGUGCGCGUCUCUCUGUUUCUUUUCUGUCCUCUUUUGGUUCGCAGGGCACAUGGGCACUUCUGCUGAGCUACUUGGAAGAAAAGGCACGGACCGGCGUCCUAACCCCGGCAAACCAAAGUUGCCGGGGGCUGGGAGUACAAGGAUCCAACCGCGGCGAGAUGAGGUUGCCGGGGGCUGCACAUCCAGAUAAGUCUUUUAUCCUCCGUCAUGCAUUUCGUUAUGAAACUGGGAUAUGUGAAACCUCGUUUUAUUUCUAGGCCACCGUGCUCCCCUUUUCUAUACCCAAGGAUUAUCUCCUGGGCCCGGAUUUGGUUGUAGUCACGGCGGCAAGGAAAUAGAACGAGGAGCCUAAGCCCGCUUCAUCCCUGCCUCCGCCAAGGUCGUGAGGAUGGUCGAGCGAAGCGGGGGGGCAGCAAGGCCUAUUGCCGGGUGGGAAAUGUUUAUCUUAAAUAGUAACAAGGAUUCACUCCUUGUCGUGGGUUCCAUCCACGAACGAAACCCCCCAGCAAACACCCCUUUUUCAUUAAAAACAUCCCGUACAGGUACAGUUUAUACGAAAUGAAACACAUGAGCAAGGGGGAUUACAAGCUUUAAAUUUAACAAGGCCCGAAGGCUUACAGAUUAAAAAAGAGGUGAGAUGCCCGUAAUCCCUUUCUUGUCCCUCUCCUCAGGAGGCAGGUCAAGGAGGGGAAAGGGCAAAAGGGGCGCCUAGGCGAACUACGAGGAGCAGAAAGCACCAAGAGAACACCUCGGUGUCCGCCCACGGAUGGGCCGGUGAUGACGGUGCUGGGAAAGGAGCUGGAAGACGAGGCGGCAGGACCGGCAAUACGCGAUGAAGGCGCCGGUGCCCACGUACUCCGAGUUGACGACCUUGCUGCCCGCCCUCUUCCUCUUCCGCAGCCUCCCGACGCCAGCCGCCCAAGGAGACGGCCCCGAGAAGUUCAAGGAGCUGGCCCCUCCGCCGGAAAAACUCUACCGGAGGAGCGGCCAGGUGCAGAUGCUGCUGCUGUCGCACCCACCCAGGCGCGGGGCGUCUGACGCCUAGUCGGACUCGUCCCCGUCAUCUGCCCCGCUGUCCUCCUCAUCACUUUCGCUCGAGGAAGAGCUUCCAUCGUCAGAAUCUCCAUCGGAGGAGCUCUCCACGCAGCACUUCAAGCGAGUCCCGAAGUCUCCGAAGACCUUGCCGGAGAACAGGCCGUCCUCCAUUAAUUUGAAGUAGAGGACGAGCCCCGCCGUCAGGCUGUGGAUGUGAGCGAACGUCUUCCAUCCACGACGGAGGUACAUGACCCGAGGAGCCGGGAAGUUGACGUCGACCCGCGUGCCCCCAUUCCCACAGCCCCUCAUGUGCAAUCUGAGGGAUUGGGGCGGGUCACGCUCCAUCUCCCGAGCAAACGGGGCAGGAAGACGAAAACGGCGACGCGAAGGCCGACUGUGACGCCCCCGAUUUGACCGUACACUAAUCAUGCACGCAAAUGUGUACGAUCAAGAUCAGGGACUCACGGGAAGAUAUCACAACACAACUCUACAACAUAAAAUAAGCCAUACAAGCAUCAUAAUACAAGCCAGGGGCCUCGAGGGCUCGAAUACAAGUGCUCGAUCGUAGACGAGGCAGCGGAAGCAACAAUAUCUGAGUACAGACAUAAGUUAAACAAGUUUGCCUUAAGAAGGCUAGCACAAAAGUAGCAACGAUCGAAAAGGCAAGGCCUCCUGCCUGGGACCUCCUAACUACUCCUCGAAGUCGAACUCCAUGCAGAAUCAUCCUCGGGAUCUCUAGCUCCUGGACUCCAGCACCUGGUUGCGACAACCAGGUAUAGAAAGGGGAAAAGAGGGAGAAAAGCAACCGUGAGUACUCAUCCAAAGUACUCGCAAGCAAGGAGCUACACUACAUAUGCAUGGGUAUAUGUGUAAAGGGCCAUAUCAGUGGAUUGAACUGCAGAAUGCCAGAAUAAGAGGGGGAUAGCUAAUCUUGUCGAAGACUACACUUCUGGCCACCUCCAUCUUGCAGCAUGUAGAAGAGAGUAGAUGGUAAGUUCACCAAGUAGCAUCGCAUAGCAUAAUCCUACCUGGCAAUCCCCUCCUCAUCGCCCUGUUAGAGAGCAAUCACCGGGUUAUAUCUGGCACUUGGAAGGGUAUGUUUUAUUAAGUAUCCAGUUCUAGUUGUCAUAAGGUCAAGGUACAACUCCGGGUCGUCCUUUUACCGAGGGACACGGCUAUUCGAAUAGAUAAACUUCCCUGCAGGGGUGCACCACAUAACCCAACACGCUCGAUCCCAUUUGGCGGAACACACUUUUCUGGGUCAUGCCCGGCCUCGGAAGAUCAACACGUCGCGGCCCCACCUAGGCUCAAUAGAGAGGUCAACACGCCGGUCUAAAUCCUAUGCGCGCAGGGGUCUGGGCCCAUCGCCCAUUGCACACCUGCACGUUGCGAGGGCGCCGGAAGCAGACCUAGCCUAGCAGGCGUUCCGGUCCAAUCCGGCGCGCGCCACUCCGUCGCUGACGUCAAGAAGAGCUUUGGCUGAUACCACGACGUCGAGUGCCCAUAACUGUUCCCGCGUUGCUGGUUAGUGCGUAUAGACCAAAUGGCCAGACUCAGAUCAAAUACCAAGAUCUCGUUAAGCGUGUUAAGUAUCUGCAAACGCCGACCAGGGCCAGGCCCACCUCUCUCCUAGGUGGUCUCAACCUGCCCUGUCGCUCCGCCACAAAGUAACAGUCGGGGGCCGUCAGGAACCCAGGCCCACCUCUACCGGGGUGGAGCCACCUGUCCUUUCAGCCCCCUCAUCAGAAUCACUUGUGGGUAUCCUCGAGCCGACCCGACUUUAGUCACCACAUGUGUCAUGUAUAUAAUGUAUAUAGUAUAUACCUGUGAUCACCUCCCGAAGUGAUCACGGCCCAGUAGUAUAGCAUGGCAGACGGACAAGAGUGUAGGGCCACUGAUGGAACACUAGCAUCCUAUACUAAGCAGUAGGAUAGCAGGUAAGGGUAACAACUGUAGCAACAAUGACAGGCUAUGCAUCAGGAUAGGAUUAACGGAAAGCAGUAACAUGCUACACUACUCUAAUGCAAGCAGUAUAGAGAAGAAUAUGCGAUAUCUGGUGAUCAGGGGGGGCUUGCCUGAUUGCUCUGGCAAGAAGGAGGGGUCGUCAACAGCGUAGUCGGUCGGGGCACCAGCAGCGGCGUCGGUCUCGUAGUCUACCGGAGAGAAGAGGGGGAAGAAACAAUGAAUACAAUGCAAACAGAUGCAUAACGAUGCAUGACAUGACAAAGUGUGAUGCUAGGUGUGCCCAAACGCGGUACUAGGUGAUACCGGCGAAGGGGGGAAACAUCCGGGAAAGUAUUCCCGGUGUUUCGCGUUUUCGGACAGAUGAACCGGAGGGGGAAAGUUGCGAGUUCGAUAUGUUAGGGAUGUGUGGCGGACGAACGGGUUGCGUAUCCGGAUUCGUCUCAUCGUUCUGAGCAACUUUCAUGUACAAAGUUUUUUCAUCCGAGCUACGGUUUAUUUUAUAUUAAUUUUAAAAGGUUUAAAUCAUUUUUUAGCAUUUAUUUAAUUAUUUCAAUCCAACAUUAUCCAAAACAGUGCACGCUGACGUCAGCAUGACGUUAGCAUGACGUCAGCAGUCAGCAGAGGAGUUGACUGCUCAACUGACGUGUCGGUCCCGCAUGUCAUUGACACAUUGCCCUAACUAACAGAUUAGUUAGUUCAAUUAGAUAUUUAGGUUAAUUAAGUUUAAUUAGUUUAACUAAGCGGGAUUAAUUAAGUUAAUUAAUUUAUUAAUUAAUUUAAUUAUUAAUUUUUUAUCUUUUUUUUAACGUUCAGGGGGCUGGGCCCCCCCUGUCAUAGGCCCCAGGGGCCGUGGCGGGUUGGUCACUAGCGGGUGCGGGCAACGGGUGCAACGCCCGACCCGAACGGGCGCACGCCCAGGUGCAAGCGGACCCGGGAGGGCACCGGAACAGGGGAGGCCGGUGGCCACGGCGUGGCCAUGGCCGGAGCGGGGCGAGGCCGCGGUGGUGCGCGGGCGGCCGCCGGAGGCCGUAUGGGCGGCAGCCGGAGGCGGCGCUCGGUUGCGGCCCAGCAGGAGCUGCGGCAAUGGCCGCGGGGAGGCCAGGCCGGAGCCGCAGGGGGAGGCGGGCGGUGACCGGAGGUGGCGCAGAGGGGCGAGGCCGAGAACGCUGCCUACGCUAACAGCAGGCAGUGGCCGGGGUUCGGUCCCGCGGCAAAGGGCGCCAGGGACGGCCUAAUCGGGCAAGGGGAGGGGGAAAAUGGACGGCGGCUCGUAGUGGAGCUUGUUGAAGUCUCGACGAGGCCGAAGUUCGUUGGGGAGGGGCGGAUCGAGCGGCGACGACCGACAGAUGCAUCCGGGAGAGGAGGUCGAGGGCGACGGCUUUGAGGCCCCCCCGGCCCGGUCCAGUGCCAUGAUGAGGCACCCGGGAUGGGCAACGGCCGACGAGCGCCGGGCUGCGAACCUGGCCCCGACGCGGCCAGGCGCGCGGGCAAGGAGGCAAGGGCGUGCGAGGCGAUGGCGAGCCGCGAGAUGGCGGCUGGUCUCCGGCAAGGGCGGCCGGCGCGAGGUGCGGCAGAGGAGGUUGGCGAGGUCGCCGACGAGAGGUAGGAGGCGCACGGGGCGGUGACGGCGACGGGGCCGUGCCCCGAUCCAGAUCGGGUCGGGGGAGGAGACGAGGGAGCGAGAGGGGUUGUGGGGGCGCGAGUGGGAGGGUGUGGCGCUAGGGUUUGGUGGUGGAGCGGGUUAGCAGCCCAGCGGGGGUUCGGCGCGGGUGGGCUGGCCAGAUGGCCUAGCUGGGCCAAGGCCCAGCGGGGGGAGGGGGUUCUUUGUUUUUUUUGUUUUAGUUCUGUUUUCUGUUUUGUAUUUUCUUUUCUUUUACUUAUUUUCAUUUUCUGUUUUAUUUAUUUUAGAGUAUUUCAGCAUUUUCUAAAAAUGUGUUUUCUUCACUAUAAUUACCUGUGCAAUAUUUGGCACAAUCCGAACAUUUUUGUCCUAAUGUUUGAAAACUUUGGUUGUUUGACAAAAAUUCAAAUUUCAAUUCGAAUCGUUUUGAACUAACGUGAGAUUAGCGACAGUAACAGAGGUGACGUGGCAUCUUUAGCAGAGGUUUACUGUAGCUUAAUUAUCCGGGCGUCACAAUUCUCCUCCACUACAAGAAUUCUCGUCCCGAGAUUUAAGAGGCGGAGUAAAGGGGAAAGACUAGGUUACGAAAUUCUAACGAUUCUUCUUGGCCUUGGUUGCCCUUUCGAAGAGGUUGAUCCCUUUCGUUGAUGUCUUCAUUUCUCUGCUUCAAGUCACCAUGAUCAAGUCGUCAUCCUUUCUUCGGGAACUCCAUCGUACUUACGAAAGAAUAAAGGGUGGUUAUUCCGGAAGAACGGACCUCUGCAAGGUUGACUACCUGGUAGCUAACAUCGGGGGAAGGUGGCGGAAAGUAACUCUCGAAUGGAAAUUUAAGACAAUAUCGAGAGCAAAGUAAGGAGGUAUCGUGGGGAAGUUUCGAGCGGGCAGGCAAUCGUUCGAUGCUUGAAGGGUUCAGAGCAACGGGAAUAAGUAUUGUGUCUGAUACCAAAAUUGAUGAUCUCACGAAAGGUGGCAUGUGAAUCACAUACGAAGCCAAGCGUGAGGAAUAACCUUGGGAACAGGGGUGUACAAGAGAGUCAGGUUUCGAUCCUGUGGAACUGUGGGUUAUGGGCCCACCAUGUGGUUUUUUUUAUAGGAGCAGUGACAUCUUGCACGGUCAUGAUAGCAAGGCAUGUCAGAGAGUACCCUGCCAGUUAUGUCGGCAACACGUUGGUACCAAGGGCGAGGGACGAAGAGAACCAAUUUUCCUGCUCGUUGAAACGAGGCGGACCAAUAGGCAAAGUUCUCAUCCAUCGGUGGCUACCGAAAUGUCAUCAACGAAAGUAACAUGGUCUACUGAGAGAGUGGUACAACGAGGUGCUCAACUAAGCAGGGAAUUAUCUCUACUCAGCUAAGUCAGAUUACAAGAAAGGUUAAACAAAACAAUGGAAAGGAAAAUAUGAUUAUCAGAGUAAACAGAAAAAAGGAAAGGAAAAUGUGUUUAAACACAUAUUUCAAGGGUAUAUGCUUCCCAAGGACAAGCAGAGCAUGAUAUCCAUGAUAGGAUAUAAUGUAGAAAACCCUUUAGGUAAGAGGAGAGAAAUUUCAUGACAUUACCCAUACAACGGUGUUUGGAUAAUUGAGCAGGAAACAAUUAGCUUUGGGCUUCAAAUGUUCCUGUUGAAAAUCGGAGUACCAUAGACAUGCUUCGAGAUAGCAUUGACAUGAUCUUCAGGCAAAGGACAGACUCUAGAUACACAAAGGACUUAUUAGGAACAACUUAUAGAAUAAGUCUUACAAUUUCCUCGUGAAAGAAUGGAUAACCUUGCAAAAAAGGAAACUAUAACGAUAGGUCCGCCGCCCAGGUGUACCGGGCAUGACAUCACCUUACCGGGUCAUGUGAAGACCAAUGUUAUAACUCUUUGAAAUAUGUCCCUACCAUCAUAUCUGACCGAGAUCCAGAUCUGAUUGGUGUCUCGAUACCUCAGACUUAGGAUGCCUGAGAAGAAAAGGUGCGACACAAUUUGACGAGAUGACAUUGUAAGAUUCUCGGGAAAUGAACUAUGGAAGCGAGUUCUGAAACAAGAGUCCCUCAGUAAACCAAUGAGAGGAUGAGGAGGUGGCUGAUGGAAUCAGCGACAAUUCAUCGAGAUUAACAAAAGAUGGAUUUCCACAACUAUGUGAACAAGGAGAUAACAUUUGUCAGAUCAAAUGGUAUAAUGAUGUAUGCUCGAGGAAAACAUACACAAUUAAACAUUGGUUGAAAGGGGCACCCGAAAUAUGGGCUGGGUUGCACGACCAACGUCGGAAUGGAAAUUUAGCAACCAGCACACUACAUUGGAAUUAUUGUCCAUUAACUCUGAAGUAACAAGGUUGCUAGAGAUAUUAAAUUCUCAUAACAGAGUUCACUCAACACGGGGACCAAGAGAAGAAUGAUGAUGGUGAGAAGCAUCAUUGUAUCAAGAAUUUCUUAAGAGGUGGUGAAACUCUCACGACAUUCUUGACAUAAAAGAUGGUAAUACUCCAGUGUAAAGAAGAACAAUUGCUGGGUUGCAAGGAACUCAAGGUAUAACACAAAACAAGAACAAGUUUGUGUUGGAGGAAAGGUAGUAGAGUGGUCGAUGAUAAUACUAAUCAUCGAGGGCAAGGAUGGUCUUUCUCAUCAUGAAUUCCAUUGAUAUCCUGGAAGAGCUCAGAAUGUUGAUGAUGAUCACGACACAUUUGUCGAGAGAAUUCAUGAAGAUGUAAUCGAUUGGCGAUGACAUCAAGUCAAGGGAAUGAUGAAGCAAAAGGUUAUUGGAACCAGGGGUACGACACAAACUCGAAAUCAAGCUUGUUGUUCAAGGCUAAAUGAUAUGGCAAGGAAAAUCGACGUAAGCUUAGCUCAUCAUCGAAGUGGUGCUCCAAGAAUAAGGACCAGGUAGCACACAGUUGAAAAGUUGCACGAUAUUGAUAUAGUUGAUCAGGCUAAGAAUGACUUGAAGGAUUUUUAAACUCGUAAGCAACGAAAAUUACUUAGAGUUAUUGAAUCGGAGUGCGGAAUUGAUUCACAUAUCGGUGUUCUCGAGUGAAUUAACUCAGAACCCGGGGGAAAUCUGAAAUCAGUGAGAAGCAAUACUAGAUGAAGACUCAUUGGAAGCAACACAGUUCUUUGAUAUGCUCGAGAUAUUGGAGGGUAUUACUCGAAGGAAGAUCGACAUAGGGGUUGCGGAGAGGUAUUGAUCUGCAGAAGACAAGUGUUUUAACUUGUCUGAGAAAUAGUAUUUAAAGGAGAACAUGGUCGGAACCACGACUGCAAAGGGGCAAUUCACCGAUAUCAGAUGAUAUUAUAUCAAGGAAAUAGCUAUUAUUACAAGAAGCUUCCAUGAUAGGAUCUACAUCGUGUCCAUGGGCAUGAACACAAAGUUCAAGGUCGACUCCCACUUGUUCAACGCAUAACCUUUCAUUUACCUCUCGUAUUUCGAAAAUGACAUUAGUUGUUGAAAGUUUUUACCUGAUGCAAUACCAGAUAAGUAUGACCCAUGAAAUCUUUCGGGUUCACACGGAUUAGGGAAGGCGUAGGUUCAACCCAUCAAGGCAUCUUAGGAACAUAUACCACAAACUUCGGAGUAAAUAAUACAAGCUCGAAAGUAGAGCAUGGUUCACAAAGCAGAGGAUACAAUUUACCAAAGGCAUCAUGUAUCCGAGGAAAAGCUCACAAGCUUAUUUAAUAUGAAGGACAUUGUCAGAUAAAAUCCGACAAAAGGGUCUGGUGGUCCACAAGGGAUCUGAUGUGAGCAUCAGUACUCAACCAGAGGAAGAAAGAAUGCAAGGAGAUCAGAUUAUAGAAACAACUGACUAACUCAAAGCUCAAUGCAAAGGAAUUAUAAUUUCAAAUUCAAGGGAUCAGAAGCAAACGCUCUGAUUGAGGAUGGAUAAGUCGAGUAAACUUACAGGUACAAUCGAUGGCAAAUUUGAUUGGUCAAGAUCCAGCUCAUGUUUAAAAUGACGUCUGAGCCGGAAAGAUAAUUUCGAAGGGUCGAUCGAUGAUUGUGUGCAUUCGCACACAUGUUGAAUCAAUAGGAUCAAAAUGAUAGUGUCAAAAGAUACUAGUGAAUAUUGCUAGUGAUAUGGGAGCAUCCAUAAUGUAAGCAAGUAAGAAUUUCAAGAGCAAUAGGCUACUCAGGAUUUUCGGAAGUUCAAAUAGUAUUUUGAAGACUUUUGUGAAAUACAGGAAUCAACUGUGGAUGAGCGAAUACUCGAUAAGUGUGAGCAAUUAUCCGUAGGGGUAUUUAUGUGGUAAAGAACUGCAAGGCAGUAAGCUCAAAGGAUUCUCGGAACAACAGAGAGAAUUUCGGGGAAUCUUGUAAUAACCAGAUCAACUGGGAAACAUUGUAUGAAUGGCGAGUAUACGUGGUUAUCCAUAGGAGUUUAUCGAUGGAAGGGAAUUGCAAAAGCGAUGAACACAAGUUCUCGGGUUAACAGCGGAGAGUGUCUUCAGGGUCCUCACGUGCAGCAGACGAUCAUCAGUAAUAAGGGGCUCUCCGGGUGAAAGUGAUAACGAGAUCCUAAUGUUAGAAUUAGCAAAAUUCAUUUAACCCGAAUAGGAGAGAGAUCAGAUUCCCAGAGUAAAGGUCGAGGAGUAAAAGAUCCUAAUACCACCCAAUGGCGACGUGGGCCCGUAAGCUACACAGCCAUGUUAGUAAAACAGUUUUCACUGACUAGACUCAACUUUGGCCAAGGAGUUGGAAAGGGAGAUUCCUACAGGCAGUUGGCUCUGAUACCAACUUGUGACGCCCCCGAUUUGACCAUACACUAAUCAUGCACGCAAAUGUGUACGAUCAAGAUCAGGGACUCACGGGAAGAUAUCACAACACAACUCUACAACAUAAAAUAAGUCAUACAAGCAUCAUAAUACAAGCCAGGGGCCUCGAGGGCUCGAAUACAAGUGCUCGAUCAUAGACGAGGCAGCGGAAGCAACAAUAUCUGAGUACAUACAUAAGUUAAACAAGUUUGCCUUAAGAAGGCUAGCACAAAAGUAGCAACGAUCAAAAAGGCAAGGCCUCCUGCCUGGGACCUCCUAACUACUCCUCGAAGUCGAACUCCAUGCAGAAUCAUCCUCGGGAUCUCUAGCUCCUGGACUCCAGCACCUGGUUGCGACAACCAGGUAUAGAAAGGGGAAAAGAGGGAGAAAAGCAACCGUGAGUACUCAUCCAAAGUACUCGCAAGCAAGGAGCUACACUACAUAUGCAUGGGUAUAUGCGUAAAGGUCCAUAUCAGUGGACUCAACUGCAGAAUGCCAGAAUAAGAGGGGGAUAGCUAAUCCUGUCGAAGACUACGCUUCUGGCCACCUCCAUCUUGCAGCAUGUAGAAGAGAGUAGAUUCACCAAGUAGCAUCGCAUAGCAUAAUCCUACCCGGCGAUCCCCUCCUCGUCACCCUGUUAGAGAGCGAUCACCGGGUUAUAUCUGGCACUUGGAAGGGUGUGUUUUAUUAAGUAUCCAGUUCUAGUUGUCAUAAGGUCAAGGUACAACUCCGGGUUGUCCUUUUACCGAGGGACACGGCUAUUCAAAUAGAUAAACUUCCCUGCAGGGGUGCACCACAUAACCCAACACGCUCGAUCCCAUUUGGCCGGACACACUUUUGUGGGUCAUGCCCGGCCUCGGAAGAUCAACACGUCGCGGCUCCACCUAGGCUCAACAGAGAGGUCAGCACGCCGGUCUAAAUCCUAUGCGCACAGGGGUCUGGGCCCAUCGCCCAUUGCACACCUGCACGUUGCGAGGGCGGCCGGAAGCAGACCUAGCCUAGCAGGCGUUCCAGUCCAAUCCAGCGCGCGCCGCUCCGUCGCUGACGUCAAGAAGAGCUUCGGCUGAUACCACGACGUCGAGUGCCCAUAACUGUUCCCGCGUAGCUGGUUAGUGUGUAUAGACCAAAUGGCCAGACUCAGAUCAAAUACCAAUAUCUCGUUGAGCGUGUUAAGUAUCUACGAACGCCGACCAUGGCCAGGCCCACCUCUCUCCUAGGUGGUCUCAACCUGCCCUGUCGCUCCGCCACAAAGUAACAGUCGGGGCCGUCAGGAACCCAGGCCCACCUCUACCGGGGUGGAGCCACCUGUCCUUUCAGCCCCCUCAUCAGAAUCACUUGCGGGUACUCCUCGAGCCGACCCGACUUUAGUCACCACAUGUGUCAUGUAUAUAAUGUAUAUAGUAUAUACCCGUGAUCACCUUCCGAAGUGAUCACGGCCCAGUAGUAUAGCAUGGCAGACGGACAAGAGUGUAGGGCCACUGAUGGAACGCAGCCUGAUGAAGAACUCGCGGGGCUGGUCUCCAACAUGGCCUUACAUCGAAAAAGGCAUCAUUGGCGGGGGCGAAGCCGGCGCGCCGCCCCGUCCUCCUCUUCCCCGAGCACCACGACCUCUGUCCCGGCCUCUCCCACGGCCUCGGCCCCUCCCCCUUCCCCUCGCGGCCGGCUCCACCACCACGGGCUCAGGAGGAGGAGGGACGCGCUGUCGAGCGGCGACCCUCGCCGCCACCGUCGAGGGACCGGGAUUCCCUUUCUCCAUGGCGAGUGAAAGGAAGAAGCAGAAGCAGGAGGAGAUAGAUGACAGAAGAGUGUGGGGUGCCAUCCCCCUUCCCCCCCUCUUAUAAAGGGGUGGGGUGAGGGCUCGGCCGCCCCGCUCGACCAAUCCAGCCACCAGAGGCGCAGGGAAUCGAGGCCGACCCGCUGCCCCAAUCAGCGACGACCCGAUUUCCCGCCUCCACCGCUUGCCACCCCAAGCGCAUGGAGGACACGUGGCGAACGUGCAGAAUCGAGGGGACGGGUGGAGUGACCUCUCCCCACCCCGUGAUCGUGGGGUGUGGACGCCUUGAAGACCGCGACCCGGCCCCGCGCAGUAAAUGAGCCGCGCCUCCACGCCUCCCUCUUUUUACGGGGAAGGCACGGGCCGCCUCUUUACCACGAUAUGACGCAUGCAUGCGGAAACUGCCCCACGCAUGCCGCCCAUGUAACGCGCACCCCUCCACGCCGCGCAGCGCGCGAAAAGUUUUACCGCGGUGAAAACCGCCCCGCCUGCCCGCGCACCGUUUUGGGCCUGGCCCAACAACGUGUCGCGCUUAUGUGUGGCCCAGGCCCGGGGGCUCCUGUCGGUGUACAAAAGAAGGGGCGCACCUUUGUACCCCUUUACCUGUGCACAGGCAGUCGGAGCCGUGCCCACGGUCACACCAAGCAGAACAAGGGAGGUGAACCGAGGUAAAACCGAAGCCCAAGACGACCAGAGCAACGCCAAGACCAAGGACGCAAAGAAGCAGAGGGGUGGAGCAGUUUCCCCCGGCAAGACCCUUGCCGGGGACGGCCUCAGCAGCCCCGGCAAGACCCUUGCCGGGGCAGCCGCCCAAACACCAACAGAGCGAGCCACCCUUGAGCCCACGUCCCCAACACCAUCAACCACGUUGGGCCAGGGCUCGGGAGGCACCUCUGUGGUGGCAUGCAGAUCUUUGUGAACACAAGGAAUAUUCAAGAUCAGAUGAGGAUUAGGAGACUGCGAUCCUUGGCAAGAUCCUUGCCGAGGGGAACCACAAGACCCCCGGCAAGAUCCUUGCCGGGGACGACAGCGCGCCACGGCAAGGCCCUUGCCGGGCCACCCGGCAAGGCCUUCGCCAAGGGUGCCAGCAGGGCCACUGCCAGGCCCGCACCAACCAAGUUUCCACCGCCGUUCGCAUGCAGAGCCCAACCAGCUGAGCAGGCACCUGCGUGGCAACAUGCAGCUCCCAGGCCAACUCAUCAGGCGCCUGCAUGGCGGCAUGCAGAUCUUCGUAGAGGCUCCACCACCGCGCCACCUCAGCUGCCUGCCUGCCUACAUGGCGCCGCACGCAUUACUGGCCGGGGCGCGUGUCGAAGCGAGGAGGAGCGGCGACGAACGGGACGGACCUCGCCCCCGUCCCCGAUAAAGCUAGGGGACACCUCAGCGGCGCAUUAAAUGCGUCUUGUCCUGUAAUACGAGCGAUAAGCUCGCAAUACUGUACGCCUUUCCACCUCCUGUAUGCCACUGUGGCAGCCCCUUUCGACUAUAAAAGGAGGCCCAUGGCAUACUGAAGAAGGAUUCGGCUCUUUGGGACCACGCACCCCACCAUAGCUAGUUCGAGAGCUUAAGAACUCUUUGAAAUACAUCCACUAAAGCAGGACUAGAGUUUUACGCACCCUCACGGCCCGAACCUGGGUAAACGAUCCGUGUACUGAUUACUAAUCCUGUUCUUCUCGCAACCCUGCGCCCCGGCAACCGUAGUAGGGAUUUUUGUGAUCCCAUAGAUGUCGUUCCACACCGACUUUAAGUUCUUUGACAAGAAUGUAAACGAAACCAAAGGAAAAUAAACGAUUUACAAAGUUGCACACCGGAAUUUAUGUCAGUUCAUGUACAAGUGUGUCACUUUCUCUGAUUCUCUCCGUAAAAGAGAAUAUGCACAUGUCCAUCCUUGGUCGCACUUAUCACGCCUCUCUCUCCUCCCGCUUCUUCCUCCACACUCCCAUUUCAGCGGGGAGACGAGAAAACAGAGAGGGCGCGCGCGAAAAAGACUUCGCUGGCCCUCUAGGUGUCUCCAGAUCACGCCCAAAUUCGUGGCUCGUCCAGCCGCGAAUUUGGUGGUGCCCUACUUUUAUUGGUGCAUUUUCCUAGACUUGUUCUUUCUGUGAUUCCUCUUAAUCCCUCCCGUGUUCUUGCGGCUGAUUUCUUGACGGAUUGAAGCGUCAGCGGAUUUCUCCGGCUGCGUCUCCGGAUUUCCUCGAUCUGGGGGCAAUGCGGCUGCGCAUUCGGUUCUCUGCCUCGGAAGCCCCCCAAAUCCCCCGCCAUUGGUGAUUAUUUCUGAGCUUCCUCGCCUUAAAAUCGGCGCGUUUCUCGGAGCACCUCGAGGCAUCUGAUUUCAGAAGGUCAUCGCCGCGAUUUUACGCGAACUUGGGCGGGGCAUUGUUCUGAGUUCUUUUUUUUUGUCAAAACAUUUGUGCCGCGUCACUGGAUUUCGUCGGCCACUUGCUUCAGGGAGCUCACGGAUUUGUUGUCCGUCGCCACAAACCUCCCGCCGGUAAGCCGGGGGAAUCACAUUGCGAUGGUAGAGUCGGUGUAGGCAGGAGCAGGCAAAAGAUGAGGCGCUGCAGGGGAGAAUGGCUCCCCGCGCCGUGCAUCAUCUCCGUGCUGCUCUUCCUACCAAUGGCCUGCGGACGAUUGCUCAUUGGCCCAAGCGACACGUCGCCGCCACCUGCGCUGACACCAACCUUCAUCAAGCAAGUUGACGAUUGGGUGAGUAAAUUUUCUAUGUAUUUCAUCGCACUCGGUAGUAACAUCUGUACUGAGAUGGUGUCAUUCCAUAGUUUGUGAUCAAGACCAAAGUAGUUUAGUUUUGGUCAUCUUAAGAAGUGAGAAUUAACUUAUUAAGUACUCCCUCUGUAAACAAAUAUAAGAGCGUCCGAUAUUUCUUUACAGAGGGAGUAUCAAUCCUUUUGUUAGAGAAAAAACCGGUUCAGGAAGGCAGGAAUUGCCACCAUCGAGACCAUACAAUGACAGAAUUGCAAGGAUUGCCCGGCUAUAUUUCUGAUAUGGUGUUUAGGUUGGUGCCCUCGCUCUAUCAACACAUAUGGUCCACAUGUAUGAGCUCAUGAUGCCGGCAUUCAGAAUUGUCAUGUGGUGCUCUUCGAAUUACCUGUGACAGAAUAGAUAAGAUCACUGAAUUUCUAGUGGUUCCCAGAGGCCAAAGCUGUUUAUGAUUUUACUGCAUUGAAAAUACUGACUACAGAUUAAAACCCUGCAAGCAGAAGCAGAGAUUUUGAAACAAAUUAUUAACGUUCCCUCCUGUUAGGUACACAUUACUCCUUAUUUAAUGAGUAGCAUGUGUCGGAUUAACUAUGUUAUUAUUGGUAUGAUGCAUGUAGACUUAUUUUUUCCUUAAGUAAGGAAUGUGAUGAUAAUAUGAUAUUGUUCGCAAAUAUAAGAUGUUCUAACUUUUUUCCUAAUCGGAUGUAUAUAGACAUGUUUUAGUGUGUUUGUUCACUAAUUUCAGUCUGUAUGUAGUCCAUUUUGAAAUAUCCAAAAUAUCUUAUAUUUGUAAACAGAGGGAAUAGUCUCUAACUGCUGACUCUCACUGGUACUUCAUGGUAGUUUAUAUUUUUAAUGGUCUGGUUUAUCAUAUUAUUAUUCUGAAAAGGAUGCACACCCAGUUUAUCUCAUCAGCAUCUGUUAUUGAUUAAUUUUCACGUACUGACAAGGGUGACCACUCGUUAUGAUAUCUAUAGGUGGAACACGCGUGGCUCAAAUGUGGAUUGGACAAGAAAAGCCUUCAAGAUGUUAGAAACUACUACGACUACAACCAUGUACUUGAUAUCAUCCAUAGGAUAUCUGAUAAUAAGGGAACUUCCCCUGUCAUUGGAAAAGGUGCAGGCCCACUGACACCAGAUAUCAAGCAAACUUUGCUGACCUGCUUAAGCAAACAGAAUUUUGAGGUUCCAAAAAACCUACCCGAUGGUUAUAUCGAAACACUUAUCGCCUCAAUAAGAGAAGAGCUGACUCCGGGACCUGCUCCUGCAAAUGAAGCAGUAAAACCUCCGCCAGGGAAACCAGCUGACGGUUCUUCAUCAGAAGCAACUACAAAAAAGGCAGUGCCUGCAACUAAAUCAGUGGGGAAAAAAGACAGCGAUGGCAUGCCAACUACCACUAUCGUUGGUGUGUCCCUGGUUGUUAUCGCACUUUUAGCUCUUCUCUGCGUUGGCUGCUGCAUGUUCCGUGAAAGUUCUGCGGCUUCUGCCUAUGAUAAUAAGCAACUCCUGAAUCUAUGUAAUGUCUUGUAUCAUCCAUUUUGCUCCAAGUCAACGUUUUUCUUUCUUCUACCACUGACUUUUAUGCUUUCAUUUGCAGCGGAUUCUUGCAAGUCUUCCAGUGUAAAUCUAAUAGAUGUCACUAAGCUGGGAGCAUUGCCAUUGCAGUCAGAGGCUGGCCAAAAUGGCCAUGUGAAUCAAAGUUCACAGGAAGGCCCAAACACUGAUCAAGUUGGCUAUGUGAGACUAAGUUCACAGGAAGGCCCAAACACUGAUCAAAAUAACCAUGUGAAACUAAGCUCACAGGAAGACGCAAACACUGAUCAAAUUAGCUAUGUGAAACUAAGCUCACAGGAAGACCCAACCAGUGGUCGAAAUAGUGAUGUGAAGCUAACUUCGCAGGAAGACCCAAACACUGGCCAAAAUAACCAUGUGAAGCUCACUUCACAGGAAAGUGCAAACACUGAUCCAGCAAUCUACAGCAGUUCCGCCGAGCCAAUGGCUGCUUCUGUUGAUUCUGAGCAAGGAUCAACACCAAUGCCUCAACCAAUGAUGCCACCUCCAGCACAUCCUCAAGUACUUGCGCCUCAACCAAAGGCUCCUCCUUCACCACCAGCUCCUCAAGCACUUGAGCUGCCUCCGAAUGCUUCUCCAGUUCUUUCCUCUGGACCUUCACCGCCACCAGCUCCAAAAGCCUCCCCGCCUCCGCCCUCAGGACCCUCACCACCUACUGCUCCAAAAGCUGCACCACCACCACCACCACCAUCAAAAUCUGGUGGACCUCUCCCGCCACCACCAGCGCUGCCUGGUUCUUCCAAAACGCGCCCACCACCACUUAUGAAGUCAGGCAAUAAAACAGACACAGAUGAGGAUUCUAGUGAAGCUAAAACAAAGCUUAAGCCCUUCUUUUGGGAUAAAGUAGCAACAAAUGCUAAUAAAUCAAUGGUGUGGGAUCACCUUAAAGCUGGAUCAUUCCAGUAAGUUGGUAGAGAUAGCUGAGCUAUAUAUCUAGUUAUCUACUAUUGUAAGAUCGCACCAUUUUAUAACUAAUGGUACUUCUUCACAGGUUAAGUGAGGACGCUAUUGAAACACUUUUUGGUUGUAAUGCUGACAAGAAGAGUGGUGAUGCCAAAAAAGAUAUAGCAUCAAAGGAAGCUGCCCAAGUUGUGAGGAUACUUGAUCCUAAAAAGGCACAGAACCUGGCCAUAUCAUUGAAGGCGUUGAGUGUUUCAGCAGAGGAAGUUUCUUGUGCAGUUAAGGAAGGUAAAGUGUAUUGUCACUCGUUUAUACUGUGCAAGUGCAUAGCUCUUCCUGGAUGAAAUGCGGCUUCUUCUGAUUCUUGCCAGUCUUGUAGAUACAGUUAUUUUAUUAUAUUUUUGGGCAAAGCUCCAGUUUUUUUUUAAGUUGCAGUGGUACAUCGAAUACUUAUCCAGCUUCUGGUCUAUAACUCCAUGCAAUAAUAUAUCAGCUGCGUAUAUCAUUUGUGUCUUCACAAUCAGGAGUUACGGCUAUUCUUCUGUGCUAAGGACAAUGAAUCACUUGAUUUCAUUUGUUUCUUCUAUUUUUCAAAGCAAAUAGUACACAUUUCUGCUAAACUGAUGUGAGUCUUGUCUUCUAGGUUAACUCUAAUUCUUGAACUAAUAACAAAGUCAGCAAGAUUAUGUAGCACGCAAGUGAUGUCAAAUGCUCAAAUCGGCAUUUGGUUCUAGACUUAACCACAUUUGUGUACAUCUGGCCUCCAUAUUUUGGAAUGGACGCCUCAAGCAUGGGUUCAUGUGCUUCUGACUAUUCUAUUUGGACAUUUAGAACAAAGAACAUGUUGAUUAAAUCCUAUUUCCUGAUAACAUCUUUUGCCUUAUCAAUUUCCCUCGAUAAUUUGUAGGAAAUGAACUUCCAUCCGACUUGAUACAGACCUUAAUUAGAUGGGUCCCGAGUACUGAUGAGGAGCUCAGGCUUCGACUAUAUACUGGGGAACUCUCACAGCUUGGUCCUGCAGAGCAGUUCUUAAAAGCAAUCUUCGACAUUCCUUAUAUCUAUGAGCGCCUGGACGCAUUACUUUUCAUGGCUGGUUUACCAGAGGAAACUUCAAAUGUAAAGCAAUCUUUUGCCACCUUAGAGGUAAUAGCAUUACCAUUAUGACCUAUUUGGCUUCCACACUAUAUUCAGUUCUGUUGUAUGACUUGUAUCAGUCUUGUUUGAUGCUCUGUAGUCCUUUAACCGAUGAACAUUUUUAUCAAGUAAUAAUAGAGAUUAUCGUAGUGUAGAUGUUACCACUCUUCCUGCACCUUGAUGUUUCUACCGAUCUUCUUAUCUCUGCUAUCUUGGCAUUUAAAUCCUGAUCAGAUGGCUUGUGAGGAGCUUAAAAACAGCCGUCUAUUCUUGAAGUUACUAGAAGCUGUACUUAAAACAGGGAAUCGGAUGAAUGUUGGCACGUUCAGAGGAGGAGCUCAAGCGUUCAAACUAGACACCCUGCUCAAGCUUUCCGACGUCAAAGGAACUGAUGGGAAGAUAACGCUGCUGCAUUUUGUUGUUCAAGAGAUGAUCCAUUCUGAAGGUGUCCGUUCUGCACGGGCUGCAAAGGAGCAGACGGGCAGCGUAUCCAGUGUGGACAACAAUGAUCUUAUUGAAGAGGAAUAUAAACAACUAGGUCUGCAGGCUGUGUCCAGUUUAGGAGAUGAACUUCAAAAUGUCAGGAAUGCAGCAAUCCUUGAUGCAGAUCAGUUGGCUAUGUCGGUAGCAAGUGUCGUCCACAGGCUUGGCAAAACCAAAGAAUUCUUGAACACAAGCAUGAAAAGUCUGGAUGAAGAUAGUGGGUUUCACCGCAAGCUUGUGCAUUUCGUGGAGCAGUCUCAAACUGAUGUUACUUUCUUGCUAGAGGAAGAGAAGAAAAUACGGUCCUUGGUAAAGAGCACUGUCGAUUAUUUCCAUGGGAGGACAGGGAAGGAUGAGGGCCUUCGGUUAUUUGUCGUAGUGCGGGAUUUUCUCGCAAUGCUUGACAAGGUCUGCAAUGAGGUGAAAGAAGCAUCAAAAGUAACUCCAAAGAAAACGAAGACUGAAGUUACUCUGCCUUCCCACACACCCAGGUCUUUUCAAGAUCCCCGGCGUAGUUCCCACACACCCAGGUCUUCUCAAGAUCCCCGGCAUAACCUUUUUCCGGCAAUUCAAAACCGGAGGGCAGAUAGUUCAAGCUCUAGUUCUGAGGAGGGAAGUUAACUCUAAACGAAGGUACUCUGCCUACCUUUUCCUUCCAGCGCUUGGAGGUUUGCCCUUUGAAAACAUUAGUAAGAAGAGAUGGAAAACCGGAGCUAAAGAAAAAGCAAGAGAUGGAAAUUGACGAUAAAGCGAACUCUGGCUUUGGUCACUUGUUGCAGCAACAGAAUAAAAUUGCUGAAGGAAGGCAUUCAUCUUCCAUAACGUCCUUGACAGGCAAUUGUUGCACUUUGGCUCCUAUCAAACAAGCAAAGGUGAUAUUCACGAUCAAGAUGGAGAAGUCGCAACGGAAGCCGUCGAAAGGGGCGGCGAAGAAAACUGACCCCUUAGUUAGGGCGGGCGUGCAGAACAGGGAGGGAGGAAGAAGCAGCAGGCUGGCUGACUGACUGUGACACUGCCUGCUGUUUUUUCGCUUAGGAUUUGUACCAUCACAGAAAGGAGAGGAAUAAAUAUAGUAUUCUUUUAGGGGAAUAAAUGCAGCAUUAGAAAGAAAGAGAUGCACCACACAGGCUCAUAAACAUGAUAAUACCUUUGCAAAGAGCAAAGCUGUAAAUUGUCAUCCUUUCAACUGAAACAUCCUGUGUGUUCGCGUCAUGUGAUUAUAUACUCUGGGCGACUUGGUGUGCCUUUUGCAAUGUGGCGUGAGACCUAGUACCAGAUUCGUGCUGCUGUGCUGUGGUCGAUCUGUACCUACCGUUUCUGCACCGUCUGGAUAGUCAGGGCACUCAAAACAAUGUGCAGCGCUGCUAUAUUAGGAGUGAUAAUUGUUUCGUCUCCCGUGCCAUUUCUUUACAGAAUCCUUUUUUAUCCCAGGUAUUACUAGAUCGCAAGUAUUUCCCGCCAAAUGUCUUGCUCGUGAAAAACAUCGCCACACAUAGUCCACUACUCCCCGCCAAAAUUCCAUUAUCCCUGACUCGAGCCGUAGCACACCUACGUAUUGUAAAGACGAGAGCAUCCUUAGUCUAACAGCUUCGCAGAUUAAUUUUAGUAAGGAUUUCGCAGUUAUAUCGAGUUCUCUAACCAUGAAAGAAUUGGGCAAGAAUAGACGAUGGAAAUUUUCGACCAAGAACAGAGUGGUAGAAAUUGGCAAGUAAGCAAUCCAUAGGUGCAACUUUUAUAUAACGUACUAACAACGAAUUACAAAGGAUGCAACCAUUGUCCACGGCUAGUUUAGCACCGGUACAAGCACACAGAUUCAGAAACUAAUAGCAGUACUACCAUCCUAGAAGUAAAACGCAACACCUAGGCAACAUUUAACUGAACACGCUACUACACAGAACUGGAUACAGCCGAGCACCCACGACCACCGAGGAGGAGUCGUCAUCUAG
rnacentral:lncRNA from 1 species